UACUUAGAUGUAUGCACUCUGUAUCAUGACCCUUCCUCUGUUUUCUCCAAACCAGAAAUGGCACGUGAGCAAAGGAUAUCAAGAAGCUUUUGGAUGUUGGGAAGCUUGGAGCUGAUGCUUCAAAUAAGCUGAUGGUUGUCUUUUGGAGAUGUUUCUAUGUUUAAUGCUUUAAAGUCUUUUGGCUGUACUGGACUAUUUAAACUUUGAACUAUGCUGUGAUGGUUGAACUGAUGCUGGACGGUUAAGGGUUUAUGUCAGAGGCAACUUUAUAACUAAUGUGUGCCUGUUAUGUUGGACUGUUAAGGGUUAUGUUGGAGGCAAUUUUAUAACUAAUGUGUGUCUGUUAUGUUGGAUUGUUAACUGUUAUGUUGGAGGCAACAUUAUAGCUAACGUGUGCCUGUUAUGUUGGGCAGAUUCAAUUUUCUUAAUCCCUAGAGCUUAUUUGCUAAAGUUUAUAAGAUCUCUCCUGAUGGUUGUUGUGCUGAUAUGUUUUGCUCUAUUUUAUUUAAAGUUUUGUUCAAAUUUCGGCCGAAUUUCGGCCAAAUUUCGGUUAAAUUUUGGCCAAAUUUUCAAAUUUUGAUUUUGCAAUUUCGUCCGAGAUUUUGCUGAAUUUUUUGAAAUUCCCGAAAUUCGGCCAUUUCGGCCAAGGACGAAAAAAAACACAAACCGAAAAGGUAAAAAAUUAUAGUCCAUAUUAUUAUGGACUUUUCACUUGAUAAUAAGCCCGGACGACAUAAACCGAAUAACAUGGCCGCUGGACAAUCUUAAGCCACGAAGAACUGACCCUUUAUUACCCACAUUCGCAAACGUUUAAGAUACCAACAUGCGAUGCGUGUGUAAUGCACCCAUGAUGAUCAGUUAUAAGCAACUCUUGGGGACGAACCCGACCUUGCCUCCUCGCAGGUCGUAAACCACCUCCGUCGUCGCCUGAGCCAAGGAGCCGAUAACCGUGAUGCCCCGUGCGUGCGCCGGCACCGGCGCGUACGCGAGGCACCCCACGGAGAAGAUGUUACCGCGGUCCUUGAAGUACAUCGUCUGCUGGACGCCGGGCUCCAGGCCCGCACCGCCCUCGAAGGUGAGCUUGACCGCCGGCACCCCGACGCUGCUCUGGCCGGUGAAAUUGUAGCACGUGUCGAGCUCGCCGUACGGCGGCGCCACAGGGUACUGCCCCAUCCACCCCCUGAACUGAUCGCGGAGGGCCGCGUAGACCUCCGGCUGCAGGUAGGUGAACGUCGUGUGCAGCUCCAUCAGCGCGUCGCCGGCGAGUGCCGGAGGCGGAACCGGGAUGUCCUGCCCGGCGACGCUCACGCCGACGAGCCGGAGGAAGUACAGGUUCGGGUGGGAGGCUUUGCUCUUUAGGGUGGCGUAGCUCACUAUGUUCGGGCGCUUGGCGCCGAAAGAGAGGAAGCCCGCCGAGUAGGGGAAGGCCGAGGGCAGGCAGUAGGAGAAGGCGACCGUGUCCGGCGACAGAACGACCCGCGACGCCAGCGAGUGGGGGUCCCGGCUGAGGUCGAGGACUCCCGACGAGCGGCCCUCCGUGCUGGCGCCGCGCAUCUCCACGCAGACGAACCUGAAGUCGUCCACGGCGACCGACCGCGAGACCGUGAGUGUGUCGGUGACGAAGGUGGCGUUGAGCACGACGGCGCCCUUCUUUGUCAGGGUUGCCGUGCAGCUGGGUCCGGAGCAGUCGCUCAGCGGGCAGUUUCUCGAGCCACACGGGAUCUGGGCGAGGGAAGACGACCGGGACGGGUCGAAGAGGUGCUUCUUGCCGCACCGCCCCCCGGUGCAUGGCUCGCACCGGAGGAGCGUGGCUCCCACGGUGGCCGUGUCGAAUCCCACGGUGAGUCUCUGCACCGGGGUGCCGUAGCCGACGGUGACGUGGUACUCUGAUGCGCCCGGAAGAGACUGGAGUGGGGUUCCGAUCGAGGGGAUCGUCACCCCGGACUUUUUAUAGUCGCCUGAAUCGCCGAAGAGGGCGCGCAGGCGGAGGGCGUCGCCGAUCGAGGGCAUGCUUUGGCCCGAACGGGCACCGGCGCCAGAAGCAGGAGCGCACGGGCUAAGCCGAUGCAUUACCGGCAGCCAUCCUCCAUCUCCUGAAAAAUGACCACAAGUUCAUUAGCAUGAGAGGUAUUGGCUCUGAAUUAAAUUGAUGCAAGACACUUCACCAGAAGGGACGGGCGAGCAGGUCGACGGACUCCUCGGAUCGGAUGAGAGGACAACAAAGUGCUUUCCACCAUUGGAGUAGCUGGUGUGGUAAGAGCUGCCAAGGUGAGCAGCAGCAAGAAUCAGACAGAAAAGCAGAGAGGGAAUGGCGGAAGCCAUUGCUUGUUGUGCUAUGUAAUGGUGGUGCAGUUGCAUGGUACCUCGUAGGAACCUGCCCUAUAUAUAGCCGUGACAUCCAGCUAGGUUGCCAGCGUUUGAAACUGUCAUCUCUCCUCCUACGACGCCCGACGACGGGGAUCAGUCUUUUGUCGUGUGUUCUCCUAUGACGAUCGGCCCAAAGCCAGGUACAUACAAGCGCUAAUGCCUGCGGAAAUAGAUAGGGAUUUACGCCCAUCCUUCCAACAUGGGAGGAGAAUUAAUUAUGCACAGCUAGCUACUAGCCGGAAGAAUCAGCGACCAAGUUAUCCAUAUCAAUAGCUUCAUUGCUAGCUGUUAGAGCAUCUUCAACAGGCGCGCUAUCUUAGCCGUGCGCUAGAAAAAGCUGUUUUUUCUGUGCACGCGGAGUCGAAACGGGCGCUCCAGUAGCCACGCAAUAAUCACGCGCGCGGUAUAAUGGGUUCAGCGCGCGGAGGAAAAUGGCAUCACACGCUGCUUAUUUCGUGCAACGACGACUCGCGCGUGACUUCACCAACCGCCAGACCUCCAGGCGCUGUUUUAGGAUGAACAUCGAGUUGUUCAAACACAUUGCAGAGAAACUGGCGAGCCAUGAUCGGUUUUUUCAGUAGAGGAGGAAUGCCGCCGGAGAACUCGGGCAUAGUACCUUUCAAAAGGUGACAGCCGCUUUGCGUACGUUGGCAUACGGUAUUCCGGCGGGUCUAGUUGAUGAUCACUAGGCCAUAGGUGAGAGUCAAGCCAUCAUGUGUGUCAAGCGUUUCGUAGUCAGAAUUAUGCAAGUGUUUGGUCUGGAAUAUUAGAGAGCUUCCGAUGCUGAAGACACUGCAAGGCUUUUGGAGAUGAACAAAGCACGCAGGUUUCCAAGUAUGCUUGGCUCAAUAGAUUGCAUGCAUAUGGACAAUUCCACGGCAUGAUAUGGACAAUUCCACGGCCAGAAAAAGGGUUCCUCUAUAAUCCUUGAAGCAGUGGCCGAUUAGGAGACUUGAAUUUGGCAUGUGUUUUUUUUGAAUGCCUGGAUCUUUGAAUGACAUCAACGUCCUUAAUCGAUCACCACUCAUGUAUAAGAUUGCAAAUGGUGAAACUACACCGGUGGAGUUUGUAGCAAAUGACCAUACAUAUAACUAUGGCUACUAUUUUACGGAUGACAUCUACCCAAAGUGGCAAACAUUUGUGAAGCCAUUGAAAAAAAGGAAGGUAAGAAAAAUCUUGAUUUCCACAAUGCUCAGGUGGCGGCUAGGAAAGAUGUGGAGAGCGCUUUCAGGAUUUUGCAAGCCUAAUUUGCUAUUGUGAGAAAACCGGCUAGAUUUUGGGAUCAAAAAAUCAUUUGGUACAUCAUGAACGCUUAUGUGAUCAUGCAUAACAUGAUCAUCUGGAAUGAGUGUGGGCAAGAUAUAGACUAUUCUCAGUAUGAGUUAUUGGGACGUCUCGUGCGAGUGCGGAGGAGGGCUGUGAGGGUGGCCCGAUUUAUUGCCUCCUAUAAUUCCAUUCGACGUGCCGAAACGCAUGAUGAUCUUCUGUAGAAUCUAAUCGAGGAGUGGUGGGCAUGGAAUGGGCGACAAAACUAGUUUGUUGUUGUAUGUUUGAUGUUGUAUUGUUGAACUAUUUGUUGUAUUGGAAUAUAAACUAUUUGUUUGAGUUGUAAUAAUAAUUAAACUAUUUAUUGUUGAUUUUUUUUGUGUUUGAUCUUUUUGGUUUAGUGAGAAAUGUAGUUUGUGCUGGGCGCACUGUAAAUUUAGCGCGCCUGCUGGAGCUAUAGUAAGUAAUGUAAACACUCCUACUCGAAUAUGUUCCGGAGUGUUAGACUCUGCCCUAUUUAACCAUGCCCCGAAAAGACUCGAUAUAGAGGUGAAGGACUGCACCGAGUGAAACACGAAUAGUACGCCAUAGCUCAAAACAGGCUCGCGUCCCGUACACCAGAGUAACCUGGCUAGCGGGCAUGUCAGAAAUAAAUGUUGUAUCUGAAAGUGCGUUAUAUCGACUAGAGGGGGGGGGGUGAAUAGGCGAUUUUUAUGAAUUCUUCACCGAGGAAUUUGCUGGUGAGGAAAUUCCUAACUGAAGAACUACUAGCAGCGGAAUAAGUACUCAGAAGUAAACAUAACAGAAUACAAGCAUAGUCAUCAUGGCGAGAUGAAGACAAACAUAGAGUACAGAAAGCAUAAACACAGGAUAACACAAGAAAGAAGACGGACAGACUAAAAAAAUUGAACUGAGGAAAUUGAGAAAGUAUUCAGUCAAAGUCUUCAAACAGAUAUGAACAGGUACACAACAACAGACAUGAGGAAAUGAAAGAGUUGAGGAAAUAGAACCAGGAGGCUUGGUGAAGACAAUGAUUUGGUAGACCAGUUCCAACUGCUGUCUCAGUUGUACAUCUGGUUGGAGCGGCUGAGUAUUUAAACUCGAGGACACCCAGUCCCGGACACACAGUCCUCACCGUAUUAUCCUUGAGCUAAGGUCACACAGACCUUGCCCAAUCACUCGUGGUAAGUCUUCAGGUGACUUUCGAACCUUCACAAACGCGGUCACUCGGGGAUCCACAAUUCCUCUUGGAUGCUCUAGACCUUGACGCCUAACCGUCUGGAAGAAGCACAAUCUUCAAAGGUAACAAGCAUCGGAUCCACGCAGGAUCAAUCUCUUCAGUGAUGCUUAAUCACUUUGGGUUUGUAGGUGUUGGGUUUUGGGUUUUCCUCACUUGAUGAUUUUCGCUCAAAGUCCUCGGAGGUUGAGAUGCUCUCAAUUGACAAGUGUCAGUUUCUCUUGGAGCAGCCAACCAGCUAGUGGUUGUAGGGGCGGCUAUUUAUAGCCUCGGGAGCAGCCCGACAUGAUAAGACAUAAAUGCCCUUGUCUGAUAUGACCGUUAGGUGGGUAGAUAUUUUGGGACAGCUGGCGCAUAGCACAACAACGGUCGGAAUUUUGGCUAUCAAAGUCCUCAGGGCUAUCAUGUUCCUCACUAUGUAGGCAAUUCACACUGGUGAAUUCCUAACUCCUCAGUCAGAACAAAUUCCUCAGAGACUAGAAGAACUUCGUCUCUCUCACUGAAGAAUAUGACUGAACUGUAUGAGAUUUCCAAUGGCUUCACUCGAAGGGAUUGGUAGGUGUAGGAUUUUGAGUUGAGCAUCACAUGGAAAUUUUUCCUUAGUAUUUCGUCAACCCCCUUUAACAGUACGGUUUUUCCUAUGACUCGAGAAAUAGAAAAUGAAACUACGAAGACAAAAGUCUUCACGCUUCAUAUUCCUCGGAUGAAUACCAAGUCUUCAAGGUCACACCAAUUUCUUCACUUUCAAAGUCUUCAGAUAUCCAAAGUCUUCAGACGAAGAACUUCAUUUUUAGGGGUCGACUUUCUCUGUAAAUAUCAAACUCCUCAUAGACUUAUAGACUUGUGUACAGUCACAAACGCAUCAGUCCCUUAACCUAUAAGUCUUCAAUACACCAAAAUCACUAAGGGGCACUAGAUGCACUUACAAUCUCCCCCUUUUUGGUGAUUGAUGACAAUAUAGGUUAAGUUUUCAACGGGGAUAAACAUAUGAAGUGUAAAUACUGAUAUUGAGGAAUUUGAUUGCAAGAUAUAGAAGAACUCCCCCUGAAGAUGUGCAUAGUGAGGAAUUUGCUUUUGAAGCGAUGCACACUUAAAGAGUAUAAUCAUGGAGAUCUCCCCCUAUAUCUUGUAAUUCAUACACGCAUUUGAUAUAUAAUGUGAAGAAUUUGAAAUGCAUGAUGAAACAUGGUGACUGAUGUAAUUCAGCAUGCGUGCAUUAACAUUAAUGAGGAAUAAGCAUGCAGAAGAACACAACAAAAGUAUCAGGUCACCAUAGAGUUUAAGAUUACAACUCGAUCCAGCAAAGUCAUCAGAAGAACGAGAGUUGUAACUUAGCAAACAAACGCCCAUAUAAGAUAGACCCGCUUGAAGACUAACUCAAAUUUCUCCCUCUUUGUCAUCGAAUGACCAAAAGGGUUGAAACUGAGGACUAACGCCCCUGAAGAAUAUCAAGAAGAUGGAGGAGCGCCAGCGUGGUCAGGGUCUUGAGUCGAUGUAGGGCCUGCCGCAGUGUCGUCCAAGUCUUCAUGCUCGUCUGUGGCGCGUGAUGAAGAAUAUGAGCUAGCCACCAAGGAAGGAACCUUGACCCUCUUGAAUUUCUUCGGAGGAGGAGCAGACCAGUCAAAGUCUUCCUUGGAGCCCAUUUGUUUCAGAUCUUCUUCACCAUAUAGAUGUGACAGAAUAGCCCAGGUGCGAUCAAACACUUCAUGGAGGUAGUAGUGGUUUUUCUUCACUGCAUUAUGUGUGGAAGUCAUGUUGUGAAGAAUGGAACCAAACUGACGCUUAACCCAUUUGUGGUUGCGAUCCACCUUCUGGUGAAGACUUAUCAGCAGUUCACGAUCAGUCAGCACACGAGGAGUAGUAGCUUGAGGACUUGUCUUGGUAGCAUUGGCAGCAGUAUCAUGAGUGGCAGAGUCAUCAUUGGUGGAGUAAGAUGCAGCUUUGCGGAACUGACCAUCCAAUGGACGAAUGCCUUCAUCGAUCACGGUUGGUGACUUGCCCUUUUCUUCACCUGAAGAAUAUGUCCGUUUGAGGACUUCAAUCGGAGGCAAGUAGCUGCCAUAGUUGAGAGUGUCAGCCUUGUAGUUGAGUGAAGACCUUGUUAUGAGGAAUCUCAUGAUCCAUGGCGCGUAAGGCUUCAGCUCAAACGAAGAAAGUGCAACAUUUGCAAGAGUCCUCAUGAAGAAAUCAUGAUAAUUGUUAGGGAUGCCAUGCAUGAUGUUGAAGAGCAUAUUCUUCAUCAUUCCCACAAUUUCUUCAUCAGAGGAGUCAUGACCUUUGAUUGGACUGAUAGUCUUCGUCAGAAUGCAAUAGACUGUCCUAGGCACAUAGAGCAAUUCCUUCACGAGGAAUUUGGUCCUUGGAGCUUGUCCUGGCUUCAGCGGCUUCAUGAGCACUUGCAUGUAGUGAUCAGUGAGUUCAGGCUCAUCAUACAGACAACGAGCACCGUCAAGUGGAGGACUGAUUGGCAGGGCACGAAGCAAUUCAGUGGCUGGUGCCUUCUAAUAUGUGUUUUCAGUCAUCCAGUCCAACACCCAUGAGUUGACGUCAGCAGCAUCGCCUGUGAUAUGCAAAGUUGCGUAGAACUGAAGAAUAAGCUCUUCGUUCCAAUCAACAAUGUCAGAGCAGAAAUUUAGCAAGCCAGCGUCAUGAAUCAUGCUGAGGACUUGACAGGAGCACGACAUGGAUUCCAUGUCCACAUGAGGAAUAUGCUCAUGAUCGAAGACUUUGUCCUUGUUGAAGAGCACUGAGGAAUAGAAGUUGGCCUGGCUGGCAGUCCAGAAACGCUUCCUUCUAAGACGAGCAUUGUCAUAGGGGUUGAAGUCAGUGAAGAACACGUGCUCGCCGAAGAAAUCAUCAGCCCUGAAUUUUUGCUUCUUAGAGAAGGGAUCCUUUGGCUUGGGCUGAGGAGUGUCAGUCAGUUGCAGCACCACCUCAGGAAUCGCAAUCUCAGGUUCCUCAGGCUGAGGAAUUCCAGGCUCUUCAGCAGCUUCAGGGUUGCCAAUUCUUCAUUGACAAUUUCUUCAGCACUAGCGGCUGGAAUUUCUUCAUGAACACUUGGGGUUGCAUGAGGUUCUUCAGAUCCCAUUUGUACUACAGUGGUAGUAGGGGACUGAGGAAUAGCUUGGAGGGGAGUGAACAUUGGGGAGUUGGGAUGCUGACUGUCCCAAAAUUCAUCAUUGAGGACCGGAGUGAUACAGCCAAUAUCCACAUCCUCCUCUUAAAUUUCUUCAACACCUGCCUCUUCAGCAGUAAACUGAGGCAAAGGUGAGGAAAUGAUUGGGGUUGAAGAGAUCUCAUCCACUUCAAUUUCUUCGUCCAACUGCUCUAAAGAAGCAGCAGAAUGAGGUUCUUCAUCAGAUUCAUUAGGAAUCACAUAGUCUUCACCAAAAGGAACAAGGUCCUUUGAUGGCAUUGAUGAAACUGGAAUGACAUCAAUUGGUUUGUCAAUUGAACUGAUCAGAGUCUUCAUCUUCUUUGGAGUUGUAGAAUUUGAUGAAGCUGAUGCCUUCCUUUUCUUCACAGUUGCACGUUCUGUAGCCUUGGUCUUCUUCGCAUCUGAUGCAGAUGGAAGGAUUGGAGUUGGUGUAGGCGCAGGAGGUGCAGAGGACAUUGGUUCAUGUUCCUCAGGCGCAACUGAUGCAGUUGCCCUGAUUUGUUCACUUUCUUCAGGCGCACCACUAGUGGAUGCCCUGGCAAUAUCUUCAGCGGCUGGAAUGGAGUCAUCAGCCCUGGCACUCUCAUUUUCUUCAGUAGGCUGAGCAGAUGCCUCAGCCUGAGUAACUUCAAUGUGUGCAAGUGGAGCAGCACUUGAAGUGAAUUUCUUUGUCAGAUUGACGAAACGUACCUUGGCGCCCUUCCAGUCAGCAUAAUAGCGAUCAAAUUCAUCGCUCGGUUGCUUGAUUUCAGCUUGCAAGGCAAGAAGCUGAUCAGGGGUGAGAGUGAGGACAUUGUCCUUGAGGUAGCGCUGUUUCUUGUACUACGCUUUCUUCAGACUUCUGCCUUGUUCAAAUUUCCAUUUCUCUUCUUCAAUGAAGGCAGUGAGGACAUGGCUUUGACCAGGAGUGAGGUUCAUCUCUGGCAAAGGCGUGUUGGGGUCCUUGUGUUGGGGAACAUAGUAAUUUCAAAAAAAUUCCUACGUACACGCAAGAUCAUGGUGAUGGCAUAGCAACGAGAGGAUAGAGUAUUGUCCACGUACCCUCGUAGACCGUAAGCGGAAGCGUUAUGACAACGCGGUUGAUGUAGUCGUACGUCUUCACGAUCCGGCCGAUCCAAGUACCGAACGUACGGCACCUCUGAGUUCAGCACACGUUCAGCUCGAUGACGAUCCCCGGACUCUGAUCCAGCAAAGUUUCGGGGAUGAGUUCCGUCAGCACGACGGCGUGGUGACGAUGAUGAUGCUCUACCGGCACAGGGCUUCGCCUAAACUUGGCGACGAUAUGACCGAGGUGGAAUAUGGUGGAGGGGGCACUGCACACGGCUAAGGAACGAUCCAUAGAUCAACUUGUGUGUUCUGGGGUGCCCCCCUGCCCCCGUAUAUAAAGGAGCAAGGGGGAGGCCGGCCGGCCCUUGUGGGCGCGCCAAGGAGGAGGAGUCCUCCUCCUAGUAGGAGUAGGACUCCCCCUUUCCUACUCCUACUAGGAGGGGAAAGGAAGGGGAAGAGGGGGAAGGAAAGAGGGGGGGGGGCGCCGCCCCCCUCCUAGUCCAAUUCGGACCAGAGGGAGAGGGGGCACGCGGCCCACCCUGGCCGCCCCUCUCUCUUUCCACCAAGGCCCAUGUGGCCCAUUAUCUCUCCCCGAGGGGUUCCGGUAACCCUCCGACACUCCGGUUUUCUCUGAAAACGUCCGGAACACUUCCGGUGUCCGAAUAUAGUCGUCCAAUAUAUCAAUCUUUAUGUCUCGACCAUUUUGAGACUCCUCGUCAUGUCCGUGAUCACAUCCGGGACUCCGAACAAACUUCGGUACAUCAAAACUUAUAAACUCAUAAUAAAACUGUCAUCGUAACGUUAAGCGUGCGGACCCUACGGGUUCGAGAACUAUGUAGACAUGACCUAGAACUAUUCUCGGUCAAUAACCAAUAGCGGAACCUGGAUGCCCAUAUUGGUUCCUACAUAUUCUACGAAGAUCUUUAUCGGUCAAACCGCAUAACAACAUACGUUGUUCCCUUUGUCAUCGGUAUGUUACUUGCCCGAGAUUCGAUCGUCGGUAUCCAAUACCUAGUUCAAUCUCGUUACCGGUAAGUCUCUUUACUCGUUACGUAAUGCAUCAUUCCGUAACUAACUCAUUAGCUACAUUGCUUGCAAGGCUUAUAGUGAUGUGCAUUACCGAGAGGGCCCAGAGAUACCUCUCCGACAAUCGGAGUGACAAAACCUAAUCUCUAAAUACGCCAACCCAACAUGUACCUUUGGAGACACCUGUAGUACUCCUUUAUAAUCACCCAGUUACGUUGUGACGUUUGGUAGCACCCAAAGUGUUCCUCCGGUAAAUGGGAGUUGCAUAAUCUCAUAGUUGCAGGAACAUGUAUAAGUCAUGAAGAAAGCAAUAGCAACAUACUAAACGAUCAAGUGCUAAGCUAACGAAUGGGUCAAGUCAAUCACAUCAUUCUUCUAAUGACGUGAUCCCAUUAAUCAAAUGACAACACAUGUCUAUGGUUAGGAAACAUAACCAUCUUUGAUUAAUGAGCUAGUCAAGUAGAGGCAUACUAGUGACACUAUGUUUGUCUAUUUAUUCACACAUGUAUUAUGUUUCCGGUUAAUACAACUCUAGCAUGAAUAAUAAACAUUUAUCAUGAAAUAAGGAAAUAAAUAAUAACUUUAUUAUUGCCUCUAGGGCAUAUUUCCUCCAGUCUCCCACUUGCACUAGAGUCAAUAAUCUAGUUCACAUCGCCAUGUGAUUUAACAUCAAUAUUCAUAUCUGUAUAUGAUUAACACCCAUAGUCCACAUCGUCAUGUGACCAACACCCAAAGGGUUUACUAGAGUUAAUAAUCUAGUUCACAUCGCUUAUGUGAUUAACACCCAAAGAGUACUAAGGUGUGAUCAUGUUUUGCUUGUGAGAGAAGCUUAGUCAACGGGUCUGUCACAUUCAGAGCCGUAUGUAUUUUGCAAAUAUUCUAUGUCUACAAUGCUCUGCACGGAGCUACUCUAGCUAAUUGCUCCCACUUUCAAUAUGUAUCCAGAUUGAGACUUAGAGUCAUCUGGAUCGGUGUAAAAGCUUGCACCAAUGUAACUCUUUACUACGGGCUCUUUUAUCACCUCCAUAAUCGAGAAAUAUUUCCUUAGUCCUCACUAAGGAUAUUCUUAACUGAUGUCCAGUGAUCUACUCUUAGAUCAAAAUUGUAUUCCUUUGUCAAACUCAGAGCAAGGUAUACAAUAGGUCUGGUUCAUAGCAUAGCAUACUUUAUAGAACCUAUGACUGAGGCAUAGGGAAUGACUUUUCAUUCUCUUUCUAUUUUCUGCCAUGGUCGGGUCUUGAGUCUUACUCAAAUUCACACCUUUGCAUCACAGGCAAGAACUCCUUCUUUGACUCUUCCAUUUUGAACUAUUUCAAAAAUUUAUCAAGGUAUGUACUCAUUGAAAAAUCUUAUCAAGCGUCUUGAUCUAUCUAUAUAGAUAUUGAUGCUCAAUGUGUAAGCAGCUUCACUGAGGUCUUGCUUUCAAAAACUCUUAUUCAAGUAUCCUUUCAUGCUAUCCAGAAUUUCUAUAUCAUUUCCAAUCAACAAUAUGUCAUCCACAUAUAAUAUUAGAAAUGCUACAGAGCUCCCACUCACUUUCUUGUAAAUACAGGCUUCUCAAAAAGUCUGUAUAAAACCAUAUGCUUUGAUCAACUCAUCAAAGCGUAUAUUCCAACUCCGAGAGGCUUGCACCAGUCCAUAAAUGGAUCGCUGGAGCUUGUACACUUUGUUAGCACCUUUAGGAUUCACAAAACCUUCUGGUUGCAUCAUAUACAACUCUUCUUUAAUAAAUCCAUUAAGGAAUGCAGUUUUGACAUCCAUUUGCCAGAUUUCAUAAAAUGUGGUAAUUGCUAAUAUGAUUCGGACAGACUUAAGCAUCGACACGAGUGAGAAAAUCUCAUCGUAUUCAACACCUUGAACUUGUCAAAAACCUUUUUGCGACAAGUCGAGAUUAGUGGAUAGUAACACUACUAUCAGUGUCCAUCUUCCUCUUGAAGAUCCAUUUAUUUAACAUGGCUUGCUGAUCAUCGAGCAAGUCAAUCAAAGUCCAUACUUUGUUCUCAUACAUGGAUCAUAUCUCAGAUUUUAUGGCCUCAAGCCAUUUCAUGGAAUCUGGGCUCAUCAUCGCUUCCUCAUAGUUCGUAGGUUUAUCAUGGUCUAGUAACAUGACUUUCAGAACAGGAUUACCGUACCACUCUGGUGCGGACCGUACUCUGGAAGACCUACGAGGUUCUGUAGUAACUUGAUCUGAAGUUUCAUGAUCAUCAUCAUUAGCUUACUCACUAAUUGGUGCAGGAAUCACUGGAACUGAUUUCAGUGAUGAACUAUUUUCCAAUUCAGGAGAAGGUACAGUUACCUCAUCAAGUUCUACUUUUCCUUCCACUCACUUCUUUCGAGAGAAACUCCUUCUCUAGAAAGGAUCCAUUUUUAGCAACGAAUAUCUUGCCUUCGGAUCUGUGAUAGAAGGUGUACCCAACAAUUUCCUUUGGGUAUUCUAUGAAGACGCACUUCUCUGAUUUGGGUUUGAGCUUAUCAGGUUGAAAACCUUUUUCAUAUAAGCAUCACAACUCCAAACUUUAAGAAACGACAGCUUAGGUUUACUGCUAAACCAUAGUUCAUACGGUGUUGUCUCAACGGAUUUAGAUGGUGCCCUAUUUAAAUGUGAAUGCAGCUGUCUCUAAUGCAUAACCCCAAAACGAUAGUGGUAAACCGAUAAGAGACAUCAUAGAUCGCACCAUAUCUAGUAAAGUACGAUUACAACGUUCGAACACACCAUUACAUUAUGAUGUUCCAGGUGGCGUGAUCUGUGAAACUAUUCCACAUUGUUUUAAUUGAAGACCAAACUCGUAACUCAAAUAUUCGUCUCCGCGAUCAGAUCACAGAAACUUUAUUUUCUUGUUAUGAUGAUUUUUCCACUUCACUCUGAAAUUCUUUGAACUUUUCAAAUGUUUCAGACUUGUGCUUCAUUAAGUAGAUAUACUCAUAUCUUCCCAAUUCAUCUUGUGAAGGUCAGAAAAUAAUGAUACCCGCCACGAGCAUCAACAUUCAUUGGACCGCAUACAUCAGUAUGUAUUAUUUCCAAUAAGUCACUAGCUCGUUCCAUUGUUCCGAAGAACGGAGUUUUAGUCAUCUUGCCCAAAAGGCAUGGUUCGCAAGCAUCAAAUGAUUCACAACCAAGAGAUUCCAAAAAUCCAUCUUUAUGGAGUUUCUUCAUGCACUUUACACCGAUAUGACCCAAACGGCAGUGCCACAAAUAAGUUGCACUAUCAUUAUCAACUUUGCAUCUUUUGGCAUCAAUAUUAUGAAUAUGUGUAUCACUACGAUCGAGAUCCAACAAACUAUUUUCAUUGGGUAUAUGACCAUCAAAGGUUUUAUUCAUUUAAACAGAACAACAAUUAUUCUCUGAUUUUAAAUGAAUAACCGUAUUGCAAUAAACAUGAUCAAAUCAUAUUCAUGCUCAACGCAAACACCAAAUAACAUUUAUUUAGGUUCAACACUAAUCCCGAAAGUAUAGGGAGUGUGGAUGAUGAUCAUAACAAUCUUGGAACCACUUCCAACACACAUCGUCACUUCACCCUCAACUAGUUUCUGUUUAUUCUGUAACUCCUGUUUCGAGUUACUAAUCUUAGAAACCGAACAAGUAUCAAAUACUCAGGGGUUACUAUAAACACUAGUAAGGUACACAUCAAUAACAUGUAUAUCAAAUAUACCCUUGUUCACUUUGCCAUCCUUCUUAUCCACCAAAUAUUCAAGGUAUUUCCGUUUCCAGUGACCAUUUCUUUUGCAGUGUAAGCACUCAGUUUCAGGCUUUGGUCCAUCUUUGGUCUUCUUCACGGGAGUGACAACUUGUUUGCCAUUCUACUUGAAGUUUCCCUUUCUUUCCCUUUGCCCUUUUCUUGGAACUAGUGAUCUUUGUCAAUCAUCAACUCUUGAUGCUCUUUUUUGAUUUCUACCUUCGUCGAUUUCAACAUCACGAAGAGCUCGGGAAUCGUUAACGUCAUCCCUUGCAUACUAUAGUUCAUCAUUAAGUUCUAGUAACUUAGUGAUGGUGACUAGAGAAUUCUGUCAAUCACUAUCUUAUCUGGAAGAUUAACUCCCACUUGAUUCAAGUGAUUGAAGUACCCAGAUAAUCUGAGCACAUGCUCACUAGUUGAGCGAUUCUCCUCCAUCUUUUAGCUAUAGAACUUGUUGGAGACUUCAUAUCUCUCAACUCGCGUAUUUGCUUGAAAUAUUAACUUCAAUACCUGGAACAUCUCAUAUGGUCCAUGACGUUCAAAACAUUUUUGAAGUCCCGAUUCUAAGCCAUAAAGCAUGGUGCACAAAACUAUCAAGUAGUCAUCAUAUUGAGCAAGCCAAACAUUCAUAACGUCUGCAUCUGCUCCUGCAAUAGGUCUUUCACCUAGCGGUGCAUUAAGGACAUAAUUCUUCUGUGCAGCAAUGAGAAUAAACCUCAGAUCACGGAUCCAAUCCGCAUCAUUGCUACUAACAUCUUUCAAUACAAUUUUCUCUAGGAACAUAUAAAAAUAAACAUAUGAAAGCAACAACGCAAGCUAUUGAUCUACAACAUAAUUUGCAAAAUACUACCAGGACUAAGUUCAUGAUAAAUUAAAGUUCAAUUAAUCAUAUUACUUAAGAACUCCCACUUAGAAAGACAUCUCUCUAAUCCUCUAAGUGAUUACGUGAUCCAUAUCAACUACACCAUGUCCGAUCAUCACGUGAGAUGGAGUAGUUUCAACGGUGAACAUCAAUAUGUUGAUCAUAUCUACUAUAUGAUUCACGCUCGACCUUUCGGUCUCCGUGUUCCGAGGCCAUAUCUGCAUAUGCUAGGCUCGUCAAGUUUAACCUGAGUAUUCUGCGUGUGCAAAACUGGCUUGCACCCGUUGUAGAUGGACGUAGAGCUUAUCACACCCGACCAUCACGUGGUGUCUGGGCACGACGAACUUUGGCAACGGUGCAUACUCAGGGAGAACACUUCUUGAUAAUUUUUAGUGAGAGAUCAUCUUAAAAUGCUACCCUCAAUCAAAGCAAGAUAAGAUGCAUAAAGGAUAAACAUCACAUGCAAUCAAUAUAAGUGAUAUGAUAUGGCCAUCAUCAUCUUGUGCUUGUAAUCUCCAUCUCCGAAGCACCGUCGUGAUCACCAUCGUCACCGGCGCGACACCUUGAUCUCCAUCAUAGCAUCGUUGUCGUUUACACCAUCUAUUGCUUCUACGACUAUCGCUACCACUUAGUGAUAAAGUAAAGCAAUUACAGGGCGUUUGCAUUUCAUACAAUAAAGCGACAACCAUAUGGCUCCUGCCAGUUGCCGAUAACUUCGGUUACAAAACAUGAUCAUAUCAUACAAUAAAAUAUAGCAUCACGUCUUGACCAUAUCACAUCACAACAUGCCCUGCAAAAACAAGUUAGACGUCCUCUACUUUGUUGUUGCAAGUUUUACGUGGCUGCUACGGGCUUAGCAAGAACCGUUCUUACCUACGCAUCAAAACCACAACGAUAGUUCAUCAAGUUAGUGCUAUUUUAACCUUCGCAAGGACCGGGCGUAGCCACACUCGAUUCAGCUAAAGUGAGAGAGACAGACACCCGCCAGCCACCUUUAAGCACGAGUGCUCGUAACGGUGAAACCAGUCUCGCGUAAGCGUACGCGUAAUGUCGGUCUGGGCCGCUUCAUCUCACAAUACCGCCGAACCAAAGUAUGGCAUGCUGGUAAGCAGUAUGACUUGUAUCACCCACAACUCACUUGUGUUCUACUCGUGCAUAUGACAUCUACGCAUAAAACCUAGCUCGGAUACCACUGUUGGGGAACAUAGUAAUUUCAAAAAAUUUCCUACGUACACGCAAGAUCAUGGUGAUGGCAUAGCAACGAGAGGAUAGAGUAUUGUCCACGUACCCUCGUAGACCGUAAGCGGAAGCGUUAUGACAACGCGGUUGAUGUACUCAUACGUCUUCACGAUCCGGCCGAUCCAAGUACCGAACGUACGGCACCUCCGAGUUCAGCACACAUUUAGCUUGAUGACGAUCCCCGGACUCCGAUCCAGCAAAGUGUCGGGGAUGAGUUCCGUCAGCACGACUGCGUGGUGACGAUGAUGAUGCUCUACCGGUGCAGGGCUUCGCCUAAACUCCGCGAUGAUAUGACUGAGGUGGAAUAUGGUGGAGGGGGGCACCGCACACGGCUAAGGAACGAUCCGUAGAUCAACUUCUGUGUUCUGGGGUGCCCCCUGCCCCCGUAUAUAAUGGAGCAAGGGGGAGGCCGGCCGGCCCUUGUGGGCGCGCCAAGGAGGAGGAGUCCUCCUCCUAGUAGGAGUAGGACUCCCCCUUUCCUACUCCUACUAGGAGGGAAAAGGAAGGGGGAGAGGGGGAAGGAAAGAGGGGGGGGCGCCCCCCCUCCUAGUCCAAUUCGGACCAGAGGGAGAGGGGGCGUGUGGCCCACCCUGGCCGCCCCUCUCUCUUUCCACCAAGGCCCAUGUGGCCCAUUAUCUCUCCCCGGGGGGUUCCGGUAACCUUCCGGCACUCCGGUUUUCUCCGAAAACGUCCGAAACACUUUUGGUGUCCGAAUAUAGUCGUCCAAUAUAUCAAUCUUUAUGUAUCGACCAUUUCGAGACUCCUCGUCAUGUCCGUGAUCACAUCCGGGACUCCGAACAAACUUCGGUACAUCAAAACUUAUAAACUCAUAAUAAAAGUGUCAUCGUAACAUUAAGCGUGCGGACCCUACGGGUUCGAGAACUAUGUAGACAUGACCUAGAACUAUUCUCGGUCAAUAACCAAUAGUGGAACCUGGAUGCCCAUAUUGGUUCCUACAUAUUCUACGAAGAUCUUUAUCGGUCAAACCGCAUAACAACAUACGUUGUUCCCUUUGUCAUCGGUAUGUUACUUGCCCGGGAUUCGAUCGUCAGUAUCCAAUACCUAGUUCAAUCUCGUUACCGGUAAGUCUCUUUACUCGUUACGUAAUGCAUCAUUCCGUAACUAACUCAUUAGCUACAUUGCUUGCAAGGCUUAUAGUGAUGUGCAUUACCGAGAGGGCCCAGAGAUACCUCUCCGACAAUCGGAGUGACAAAACGUAAUCUCGAAAUACGCCAACCCAACAUGUACCUUUGGAGACACCUGUAGUACUCCUUUAUAAUCACCCAGUUACGUUGUGACGUUUGGUAGCACCCGAAGUGUUCCUCCGGUAAACAGGAGUUGCAUAAUCUCAUAGUUACAGGAACAUGUAUAAGUCAUGAAGAAAGCAAUAGCAACAUACUAAACGAUCAAGUGCUAAGCUAACGGAAUGGGUCAAGUCAAUCACAUCAUUCUUCUAAUGACGUGAUCCCAUUAAUCAAAUGACAACACAUGUCUAUGGUUAGGAAACAUAACCAUCUUUGAUUAAUGAGCUAGUCAAAUAGAGGCAUACUAGUGACACUAUGUUUGUCUAUUUAUUCACACAUGUAUUAUGUUUCCGGUUAAUACAAUUCUAGCAUGAAUAAUAAACAUUUAUCAUGAAAUAAGGAAAUAAAUAAUAACUUUAUUAUUGCCUCUAGGGCAUAUUUCCUUCACCUUGUGCCAUAAGUUAAUGUAAUCAAGGAUCAGCUUGGGAUCCAACAUCAGUGGCACAUUGCUGCCUUUGGUUCUAGCGGCCCUGGCUUGCCUAUUUCUGAUGAUUUCGGCAAGUUCUUCAUCAUCAGCCUCAUCAUCAUCAAAAGGUACAUGGAAGGCUACCUGCUUCUUGUGAGGACUUGGGCGAGUGCCUCGUCCAGCAGUGGCCUUUUUCUUCGGCAGAGAGGUACCAGUUGAGGAAUUUCAAGCAGCAGAGGAGCUUGCAGAUGCUCCAGAGGCAAUAGAGAAGCCUUGAGUCCUUUGGCACGUGGCGAGAUGCACAGGUGCCGAGGAUUUUGUGGGAGCAGCUGAAGACUUUGUCGGAGGAUCUGAGGACUUUGAUGGAGCAGGCUGAGGAGUUUGCCGUGAGGGCCUUAAGGAAUCUGGCCUUGAUGGCAUAGCAGAGGAGCUUGGCCGUGAGGGCAUUGAACGUGAAGCACUGGACUUGUGUGCAGGCUUCUUGGGCAUAGCCUUCUUGGGCUGACUGGCAGAGGCCUCAGCUGAGGCAGCAGUAGCAGCAGAGUCAGCGUUGAAUUUCCUCACUGCUUCCUUUGCUUGCUUGGCCAGUUUGGCUUGGCGUUUUGCCCAUUCGUCAGGAUAAUCCUCACCGUGCUUGAGGCUAGUGGGAUCCGCCAACUGGCUUGGUGCCAAUGGAGAUCUUGGGCAUGGAGGGUUGAGUGCGAAUUUCUUCAUGUACUUGGCAGUUACAUACCUGUACUCCCUCCAUUCCCGUGCCCAUCUCCUUUCAAUCCUCUGGAUGCACCUUGCGCUGAUUUUUGUUCUCCUUACCAAACUUGGCUUCAUCAGGUGUGCAAUAGCCUGCGUAAAUGUCCUUAGGAAUUUCAAAAGCAGUCAUGACCUCAGGCUUCUUUCCUCCCUUCUGUGGCUUCUUACCAUCUGCCAUUUUCUUUAGUUGAGGAAUCUGAACAAUCGAAUUCUCUGAAGAAGUAUGCAACUUUUCUUCGAGGAAUGCUGCAAAUGAGUUAAGUUGAUGAGAACCUAGUGAUUCAGCAGUGGACAUUUGUACCUGUGAAUAGAGUGUAGUUGCGAGGAAUUUGGAGAGGUCAUAUGCGUUCUCAGAGGGUUUUUCAAAAAGGAACAAGUUUGAGGAAUUUGACCAGAUGAGUCUUGAGGAAUUUCACUAAGCGUUCUUUGUCUUAGGUUCCAGAGUUGUAUAGAUUGAAAAAUCCACACAAUUGAGGAAUCUUGAAGAAAAUCAUAGCUUAGAGAAACGAAUCAAGAACAGAUGAUAUGUGAGGUGUUCAUGUGUGUGAAGAAUUGAAGAAUAAACACCUUUGAAGAUUUUCAGAAACACUUGAGAAUCAAAGCGAGCAGUUAAAAGUAACUUUUAAUUACCCGAAGUGAAGAACACGACGAACUGGGAAGAACAGAUGUGAAGUUCGUCAGUUCAGAUCUUCCACGCCCUAACUUGGCAGAGGAAGACGGCUAUGGCGGCGACAGAGGGAAGAUUUCUGCGGCCGACGCGAGUACGACGGUGACGAGGUCGAGGCAGUGAAGCUCUUCCUCACCGGCGACGAUGGAGUAGCGGCGGCGCUAGGGUUUGAGAAGCUCGAGCGGGAGAGAGAGGUCGAGCGGAGUAAAGGAAGUGAGGAAGGGGUGAGGGGGUGAGGGGGUAUUUAUAGUCGCAGUGAAAAACUGUUUGCCCAAAGAUUUAGGACGAACGUGCCCCUGACCCUUCUCAUUCGCAUGACAUGUGUCACCCACAUACUGUGAGGUGGUGAUCGUGUAAGAUCAUGGGUGAAUAGAUAAAUAUAUCGUGGGAUGCGAAACGGUUUGAGCGGCAAAGCCGAAAAUUCAGAUAAGAUAAGUUUUAAAGUUUCGUUCGCAAUUUCUUCAGCUGACAAGGACACAGUGAAGAAUUUGAACGAGUUUCAAAUAGAACGCAUAUGAGGAAUUUGUGAAUAGACUGGGUUGAGUUUAGCAUAGAGGGGGAAAGGGUCCGAUCACAUUCACUUAGCAUAAGAAAUCAACUUUGAAGAAAUAGCAAUAAGUGAAUGCUGUAGAGGACUUAAAACUCAUAUAUAUAUAUAUAUAUAUAUAUAUAUAUAUAUAUAUAUAUAUAUAUAUAUAUAUAUUAGAAUGAAGAACAACACUGGGAAGAGUGAAGACAAUGCAAAGUUGACGAAUUUGAAAAACUGAGGAAUUUCAAAAACGAAGAAAAACUCAAACUGAAGAUUUUUCAACUUCGGUUGGUGGCGUAACCCACCGUAUAAGAAAGCUAAUUUCAGACACCGCGUACAACUGUCGUAGGGCUCUGAGAAUCAAUUUCCUCAUUAAUUUCUUCACACUUAGAGGGUUAGUCUUCAUUGACUGAAGAAAAAUGUUACUUCGUGUGUUGCGCAUCUAAGUCAUCAAGUCAGCAUAAGUGUUAGGAUGUGUGUCCAUUUCAGAGAACAUUCGAAGAUUCUAGGAUAUUUAGCUCACACCGCAACUUGCUAAAUCUCUCCUCAUCCAAGUGUUGGUGUGUGAGCUAAGUAUCGAAGAAUAUGCUUCACAGCCUUAUGGUGUGAUUCGUUCGGUGUAGCUUGAAAUCGGGCACACAUGCAAACACUAAGCAUAAUAUCCGGCCUAGAUGCACAUAGGUACAAUAAAGAGCCAAUCAUGGAGCGGUAUACCUUUUGAUCAAGUCUUUACCAUUUUCAUAAGUGCAUAGAUGGCCAUUUGUGGGCAUUGGAAUUUUGACCCCUUUGCAAUCUUGCAUGCCGAAUUUCCUCAAUACGUCCUUGAGGUAUUUCUCCUGAGAUAUGAAUAUUCCAUUGCACUGUUGAUGAAUUUGAAGACCUAAGAAGAAUUUCAACUCUCCCAUCAUAGACAUUUGAUAUUCUUCACUCAUCAUAUAGGCAAAUUCAUCACUAUAUCGUUGGUCAGUACAGCCGAAAAUGUAUCAUCAACAUAUAUUUGGCACACAAACAAUUCACCAUCAUAAGACUUAGCGAAAAGAGUAGGGUCGAGUGAACCGGGUUUGAAGCCAUUCUUCACGAAGAAUUCCUUCAAGGUAUCAUACCAUGCCCGAGGGGCUUGCUUGAGGCCAUACAGGGCCUUGUUAAGCUUGAAGACUUUGUCGGGAUUCUUUGGAUCUUCAAAACCUGGGGGUUGAGCAACAUAUACUUCUUCCUCAAUCUUACCAUUGAGGAAUGCACUUUUCACAUCCAUUUGUUGUAAGAUAAUAUCAUGAUGGUUAGCGUAAGCAAGUAAUAUGCGAAUAGCCUCAAGUCUAGCAACAGGUGCAAAAGUUUCUUCAAAGUCAACUCCUUCAACCUGUGUGUAGCCUUGAGCUACAAGUCGUGCCUUAUUCCUCACUACAAGACCAUUUUCAUCUUGCUUGUUGCGGUAGAUCCACUUUGUGCCAAUAAUCUUGUGCUUGCGAGGAUCUGGAUGUUUGACCAGUUCCCAGACAUUGUUGAGCUCGAACUGGUGUAAUUAUUCUUGCAUAGCUUGAAUCCACUCAGGCUCCAGAAAUGCUUCAUCUACCUUAGUGGGCUCUGUGAUAGAGACAAAUGCGAAGUGCCCACAAAAGUUAGAUAAAUGUGAAGCUUUUGAGCGUGUGAGAGGACCUGGUGCUUUAAUGUCAUCGAUGAUCUUCUCGAUUUGCACUUCAUUUGCAAUACGAGGAUGAGCGGGUUGACUUCGAGGAAUCUGAUCCGCAUUUUCUUCAUGAGCAUUUUCCUCAGCACCAUUUUCUUCAGGUGCGCCAGCCCGAUGUUCAUCAUGUUCUGGAAUGAAUUCUUCUGCAGAUUCUUCAGUAGGAAUCACAUCCUCAGUGGCUUUGAACUUGAUAGAAUCCUCAGGUGCUUGUUCAUCUAUCACAGAAGGUAGGUGCUCUCUUUGCGAGCCAUUAGUUUCAUCGAACCGCACAUCUACAGUUUCAACAACCUUGUGAAGAACGUUGUUGAAGACUUUGUAGGUGUGCGAGUCCUUUCCGUAACCAAGCAUGAAACCCUCAUGUGCUUUCGGUGCAAACUUAGAAUUCUGAUGAGGAUCUCUAAUCCAGCAUUUAGCACCAAAGACUUUGAAGUAACUUACAUUGGGUUUCUUGUUAGUGAGGAGUUCAUAGGCAGUCUUCUUGAAGAAUUUAUGAAGAUAUACUCUGUUGAUGAUGUGGCAAGCUGUAUCAAUUGCAUCAAUCCAGAACCGACGAGGUGUCUUGUAUUCAUCAAGCAUAGUGCAUGCCAUUUCAGCGAGGGUUCUAUUUUUGCGCUCCACGACGCCAUUCUGUUGAGGAGUAUAAGGAGCAGAUAACUCAUGAGUAAUACCAAGUUCAUCAAGAUAGCCAUCAAGACUGGAAUUCUUGAACUCAGUUCCAUUGUCACAUCUGAUGUGCUUGAUCUUCACACCAACAUUGGUUGAAGCCCUCGAAGAAAAUCGUUUGAAGACUUCCUGCACUUCAUGUUUGUAAGUAACAAUGUGUACCCACGUGUAACGAGAAUAAUCAUCAACAAUAACAAAGCCAUAUAGAGAUGCAUCAUUUGUCACAGCAGAAUAAUGAUUAGGACCGAAAAGAUCCAUGUGAAGCAAUUCAAAUGGUCGAGUGGUAGUCAUGAUAGUCUUCGCUGGAUGCUUGGCCUUUGUCAUCUUCCCAGCUUCACAAGCUCCACAUAAAUGAUCCUUGAGGAAUUUGACAUUCUCAAUGCCAAUGACAUGCUUCUUCUUCGCGAGCGUGUGCAGAUUCCUCAUGCCAGCAUGACCAAGUCGUCGAUGCCAUAGCCAGCCUUCUGAAGCUUUUGCAAGUAAGCACACGACAGGUUGUGGUCCUGUAGAGAAAUCAACAAUGUACAAGUCUCCUCUCCUAAAGCCUUCGAAGACUUUGGAAUUAUCAGCUUCCAUGAUCACAACACAACGAUACUUGCCAAAGACAACAACCAUAUCAAGAUCACAAAGCAUUGAGACAGACAUGAGGUUGUAUCCUAAGGACUCGACAAGCAUGACUUUGUCCAUGUGUAUGUCCUUAGAGAUCGCAACCUUACCUAGACCCAAUACCUGACUUUUGCCUUUGUCAGCGAAGAUGAUAUGCUUCAGAUGUGACGGUGAUAAGGGAGCAUCCAUCAAUAGAUUCUUGUCACCAUUCAUGUGAUUUGUACAUCCACUAUCGAGGACCCACUCAUUUGCUUUGGGUUGAUCAUCCUGCAGAUGAAUUAGUGAAUCUUACAAACUCAUAUACUUCAUCAGUGAAGAAUAUGACAUCAGUAUCAUCAGGUCAAUUUCAUCAAGCAAUGUAAACAGAUAAUCAGUAGGAGGACGUGUGAAAUGAAGGUUCAUUUCAUCAUGAUUAGCCUGCGUCCUAUCAGGCAUUGUUCAGGUCUCCAGCAAAUUCUUCAGUCGUUUUGAGCACGACUGGAGACCUGACCCUGCAUAAGAGAUUAGUUCUUUUUCUUCACCACCCACAUCUGGAGGGGUGGCAAAGAAUUCAUCACUCUGCGAGCAUCAUAUGAGAAAGGUGGCAUGGACGCCAGUCCACUUCGUUUCACAUAAGAUGGGUUAGGGUAAGCAUAUGAAUAAGCAGAGAAAUUCUUCGAGGACUUAUGAACAUAAUGAUUUGAAGAAUAAUGCACAUAUUCAUAGCCCUUAGCUCUACCCUGCGAAACAGAAGGGUUAGCACGAUAAUGAUCAUAUGAGGACUUUGAUCCUUUUGAGGAAUUUGAUCCACGUGAGGAAUUUUGUCCGUAUGAGGACUUGGAUCCAUAUGAAGAAUUUGGUCCAUAUGAAGAAUUUGAUCUGGAGUUCCUUUUCUUCACAGGUGGUGUCAUGAGGACAUUCACCUGAAGGCUUUCAAGGCAACUUUUGGGAACCCAGAUUUUCUUCAUAGGGGAACCAUUCCUGCAGUUAGUCCCAACAUAUCUAGCAAAUACUUCACCAUUCUGAUUUUUGAACAGUUUAUAGUUAGAGUCAAAUGACUCAUCAGAAGAAUGAGGAGAUUCACAUGUAAAGCCAGAUAAGUUGGAUGGAUCAACUGUAGGUCCCUUUGCAGCAACCCAUGAGGUUUUGGGGUACUGCUCAGGCUUCCAAUAUGUUCCAUCAGCAUUGAGUUUCCUCUCAAAGGCAAUACCCUCUUUCCUAGGGUUUCUGUUGAGGAUCUGCUUUUUGAGCACAUCACAAAGAGUCUGAUGCCCUUUGAGGCUUUUGUACAUGCCUGUCAUGUACAAUUCCUUCAGCCCUGCAUCAUCAGUGAUAUUUGCAUUGUCCUCAGAUGAGGAAUUAGUGACAGCAGAGACAUAUGAAGAAUUUGUAGCAUUAGAAGCAUUUGAACAUUCAGGUGAAGAAUUAGCAGUUUCACGUUCAAUGCACUUCAGACAUGGAGGAACAAAUUCUUCCUGUGUAGCGCUAAUUUGUUGAGCAAGUAAUGAAUCGCGCUCCUUCUGAAGAUCUUCAUAAUCCACUCUUAGAUUUUCAAGAUCUUGCUUUCUUUGAAGAAAUUCAGAAGAAAGCUUCUUGUGAUCAGACAAGAGAGUAUUAUGUUGAUCUUGAAGGGCGUCAAACUUGGAAUGAAGUCUCUGAAGACUCUCAGCCAAUGCUUUUGACUGAUUCAUUUCUUCACCCAACAUAUCAUCGCUCUUAUUAAGCAUGUAUUGAACCUUUUCCAAGGCUCUUUGUUGUUUAGUGGAAAGGGAAGCAAGUUUGACAUAGCUGGGGCCAAAUUCAUCACUUGAUUCAUCAUCACUAGAUUCAGAAAGGUAGCAUUCAGUUACCUUGGCACCCUCUGCCAUGAGGCAUGGUGAAGAUGACGACGAUUCAGGUGUGAAGGUCAUCUCUUUGAGAGAAUCCUUGUAAUCCUCAAACCAAGGAUCAUGACGAGUACGAUGACCUUCAUAAACCUCAGAAAGCCGGUCCCAUAUUAGUUUCGCGUGAUUGAGGUGCAUGACGUUCCUGAACUGAUUUCGAGACAGACAGGAGCAGAUGACAUCCUUCGCCGUGAGGUUCAGUAGAGCGUACUUGCGAAUGUCAUCAGCCUCCGCCAUCUUGCAUAGAUCGGUAAGACCAAUCUCAGUGACGGUCCACAGUUCGCUGUCCAUAGCCAUGAGUCGCUUCUUCAUCAUGGCCUUCCACCGAGGAUACUCAUGACCGUCAAAGAUGGGGCAAGAUACGUUCCUCAAUCCUGCAGUCCACAUAACUAAAACUCCAGGCGAUUAAACCAAAAUCACACAGAACAAGAGAGUACCUUCCUCUGAUACCAAUUGAAAGUGCGUUAUAUCGACUAGAGGGGGGUGAAUAGGUGAUUUUUAUGAAUUCUUCACUGAGGAAUUUGCUGGUGAGGAAAUUCCUAACUGAAGAACUACUAGCAGCGGAAUAAGUAUUCAGAAGUAAACAUAACAGAAUACAAGCAUAGUCAUCAUGGCGAGAUGAAGACAAACACAGAGUACAGAAAGCGUAAACACAGGAUAACACAAGAAAGAAGAUGAACAGACUGAAGAAAUUGAACUAAGGAAAUUGAGAAAGUCUUCAGUCAAAGUCUUCAAACAGAUAUGAACAGGCACACAACAACAGACAAGAGGAAAUGAAAGAGUUGAGGAAAUAGAACCAGGAGGCUUGGUGAAGAUAAUGAUUUGCUAGACCAGUUCCAACUGCUGUCUCAGUUGUACAUCUGGUUGGAGCGGCUGAGUAUUUAAACUCGAGGACACCCAGUCCUGGACACACAGUCCUCACCGUAUUCUCCUUGAGCUAAGGUCACACAGACCUCGCCCAAUCACUCGUGGUAACUCUUCAGGUGACUUCCGAACCUUCACAAACUCGGUCACUCGGCGAUCUACAAUUCCUCUUGGAUGCUCUAGACCUUGACGCCUAACCGUCUGGAAGAAGCACAGUCUUCAAAGGUAACAAGCGUCGGAUCCACGCAGGAUCAAUCUCUUCAGUGAUGCUCAAUCACUUUGGGUUUGUAGGUGUUGGGUUUUGGGUUUUCCUCACUUGAUGAUUUUCGCUCAAAGUCCUCGGAGGAUGGGAUGCUCUCAAUUGACAAGUGUCAGUUUCUCUCGGAGCAGCCAACCACUUAGUGGUUGUAGGGGGCGGCUAUUUAUAGCCUCGGGAGCAGCCCGACAUGAUAAGACAUAAAUGCCCUUGUCUGAUAUGACCGUUAGGUGGGUAGAUAUUUUGGGACAGCUGGCGCAUAGCACAGCAACGGUCGGAAUUUUGGCUAUCAAAGUUCUCAGGGCUAUCAUGUUCCUCACUAUGUAGGCAAUUCACACUGGUGAAUUCCUAACUCCUCAGUCAAAACAAAUUCCUCAGAGACUAGAAGAACUUCAUCUCUGUCACUGAAGAAUAUGACUGAACUGUAUGAGAUUUCCAAUGGCUUCACUCGAAGGGAUUGGUAGGUGUAGGAUUUUGAGUUGAGCAUCACAUGGAAAUUUUUCCUUAGUAUUUCCCCGACCCCCUUUAAUAGUACGGUGUUUCCUAUGACUCGAGAAAUAGAAAAUGAAACUAUGAAAACAAAAGUCUUCACGCUUCAUAUUCCUCGGAUGAAUACCAAGUCUUCAAGGUCACACCAAUUUCUUCACUUUCAAAGUCUUCAGAAAGUCUUCAGAUAUCCAAAGUCUUCAGACGAAGAACUUCAUUUUUAGGGGUCGACUUUCUCUGUAAAUAUCAAACUCCACAUAGACUUAUAGGCCUGUGUACACUCACAAAAGCAUCAGUCCCUUAACCUAUAAGUCUUCAAUACACCAAAAUCACUAAGGGGCACUAGAUGCACUUACAGUAUCAUUUCAUCCUGAUUACAAAAACAACAGCAUUUACUCCCCUCUCAACUACAUUUUUCCAAGUUUUAUCUGGUCAAGAUCACUCCCUUAUGCACAAACCACAUAAAAACCUUGAUUUUAAAUGACACCUUUUCCAGAUGUGCUGCGACCUAGGGAUCGGACCGGUGUUUAUCAAGUCUAUGUACAUAUAUUUCACCGAAAAGACUCCAGACACUAAAAGUUGCCAGUGCAAGGUAUCUGGCUCAUCAGAAAGGUUAACUUCCAUCAACCCGCGCACAAGAUGUAGCCAUCUAUCCCAUCGAUCGCCGACCAAAGCCUGCCUAAACUGAAUAUUUAGUGGAACGGAACAGAGAAUUGUACUAACAAGGGUUCCUUUACGUUGUACAAUGUUAUACAAGGUAGGGUACUGUAGUGCCAGAGGCGUCUCCCCCAGCCAAGUAUCCUCCCAAAAACUAGUAGUAUUUCCAUUCCCUACUAUAAACUUGCACCUAUUGAAAAAGGCUGCUUUCGACCUCAUUGACCCUUUCCAAAAAGGUGAGUCACUCGGCUGCGCAGUGACCUGUGCAAGAGUUUUGGAUUGUAGAUACUUGUUACACAAUAACUGUAACCAAACCCCACCCUUCUCGACAUAAAGACUAUAUAACCAUUUACUCAGCAGACACCUAUUCUUUACUUCAAGAUUUUGGAUGCCUAAGCCUCCUUGGUCCUUUGGCCUACAAAUGAUAUCCCAUUUGGCUAAACGGUAUUUUGUUUUUCUCUCGUGGCUUUGCCAAAAGAAGCGAGAUCGAUAGAAGCCCAAUCUCAUGGCUUUUAUUUUGUUUUGUUCUCAUGGCUUGGACGAAUGUCAAAGAAGGAUAAUAGGAACAUAGGCAAGCUUGUGAGUACAUAAUUAACAAGGAUUACUGAUCUCCAUAAGACAUAAGCUUGCCCUUCCAGCAACUUAGUUUCUUCUCAAAUCUAUCUUUCCACUCCUUGUUUGUGAGUUGGCGGUGGUAAAUUUGUAUUCCCAGAUAACUAAAAGGGAGGGACCUCAACUCACACCCGAACAACUACCGUAGUCUUCCUGCUCAUCCUUGGUGCGCCCAAAGUAAAUAAGUUCAUUCUUGUUGAAGUUAAUCUUCAAUCCAGACAGUUGUUCAAAAAGACAUAGGACCAAUUUCAGGUUUCUAGCCUUUGCCAUAUCAUGUUCCAUGAAAAUAACAGUAUCGUCCAUAUAUUGCAGGAUGGACACUCCACCAUCAACAAGAUGAGGAAUGAGCCCACCCACCUGGUCGACCUCCUUGGCUCUAGCAAUAAGAACUGCUAGCAUAUCUGCAACCAUGUUAAAAAGUAUAGGAGACACCGGAUCACCCUGUCUCAAUCCCUUUUGCAUCUGGAAAUAAUGACCUAUGUCAUCAUUAACCUUUAGAAAAAGCACCAGACAUUAACGAUAGGAGACAUCGGCUUCAACCAAGGUGAGUGUUGUCAGGCAAGUUCCUCGCCGGCGAGCGCCACAAACAAUGUCAUCGGAUUCCAACGCCCACACGGUUAUGCCAGGGAAGUUCCUCGCUGCCUUGCAGACAACGGCUUGCACCCUCUUAUCCUAGCAAAUAUGUCGCGAGUUAUACAAGUUGAUGGCCCCAGAAGCAACCUCUCUGGUCGUGCCUAGAAUGUUAAGCAACCAACUAUCAAAGUUAGAUGACCCCGUGGGGGCCUCCACAACGGUGUGUUCCUGUGCCUCGUCCUGACGAUCCUCCUCUCUCCUGGCACGCUCUGUCAAAGGCAACUCCGAACCCAUGACGACGAUCAUCUGGUCUCAGACAUCCUCGUCGGCGGUGGUAUGGCAAUUGACACUCGGCUCUGCCACAAUGACGGUUAUGGAUGUGCGGCGCCAUGGUGGUCAUUUUGGGGUCUAGAGCGAGCCACUAGUUCAAUAUACAAUUGCUGGAAUAACAUACUAGCUAGCCAACAACUUCUUGUGCUUGCGUUAGGGAGUUGGUUCUCUUGACUGAAAACUGAUUACAAUUGAACACUAAAUAGUGUCUGGUUUUUAAACCGAACCAAAUAGCCAGAAUCGGAUUUAGCCUAUAUUUUUUCAGUUAAAACGUUUGGUUAGGUUUCGGUUUUCGGUUUGAAAGUGGCCAACCCCAGAUGGGAGACGUGUCUCGCUGGCACGAGCUGUUCUUUUUGUCGGGGCCAGUGCUAGGCGCCGGCGCACCGGCCCAAAUUUGGGCCGGUCGGCUGCCGAACGUACGAUAGAGCUUUUUUUAACCAUAGGAUACAACCUUUCUCCGUCCCUCAAAAAGUCAAACGCGGAUGAAAAGCAGAUCGAGUGGAAAAAGAUAGCGAACUAGCUCAGCCACACUAGCCGCCGGACUCCGCACGCGCUCGCCGGCCGCCUGCACUUGUCCUCGGUUUCUCGUACUUGCCGGCCACCCGUGCCACCACGCCCGCCAGCCGCGCUCGCCGGUCGCUUGUGCCACGCUCGCAACAAAAACAGACUAUGGUUGUAGCAAAAAUAGAUUACAAUGGUAGCAAAAAUGCUCACCGUCGAUGCUCGCAACAAAAUUACCCCAAGGUAACUAUGAGUCAACGUCCCAAUGCAUCCUUUGAAAAAGUUGGUUCCAGCAAAAAAAACUACGGUGGUAGCAAAAGACGUUUCCAGCAAAAAUAAUCUCAGAAGAACAAAUCUGGAAAAAGGUCAAUUGUAGCAAACAAAAAAGCCAAUUCUAGCAAAAAAAACACUAGUUCCAGCAAAAACACUGCUAGUCGAUUGUAGCAAUAGAAAAAGCCAGUUCCAGCAAAAUUUGAUGAUGGUUCCAGCAAAAAAAUCUCAUCACCAAAUAUAUGUGUCGAUUGUAGCAAAGAAAAGAACUACUUCCAGCAAAAAUCUCUCUCGGAUGCAGCUCCUCGUCGCCGCGGUUGCAGCUCCAUGAACCUGGGGUUGUAAGUCAUGUCGCCGCCGGGAGCAUCAAGUCGUGGCACCUCGUCGCAGAAGCGAGGCCCCCAGUUGCAUCCACUGCCUGUCUCCGCGCGUAUGCGCUGCUCCUCUGCACGCGGCACCGAUGGUCGCCGAGGCCGGCGCCAAUGGUGGCCUUGUAGCACCCGUGGUAUUUGUCCCGCGUUGCCGCCGGUGACCGCAUCUGCAGCAGCCAAAAAGGUGGGUGGGGAGAAGAACGAGAGAGGAUAUGCAUCAUGUGUGAGAGAGAAAGGAGUGGCUGAGAAAUCUCCCCGUAUCUGGAAAUUCGCGGCCGCGGCGGCUCAGCGGGAAUCCCAGGCGUGGAAACCGUGGGUUUGCCGCCGCUGCGCUUGAGCCUGCCUUGCGUCACUCCGACGCCGGCGUCCACCCUCUCCCGGCGCUUGCCACUCCGGCCGCGCCGGCCACCCUCCCUCUCCCGGCACUCGCCUCGGCUGGGCCGGCCCCGUUCCGCCCUUCCCGCCAUGGACGGCAGUCCGCUUGCACACUCCACGACCGCGCGCCCCGUGGGGGAGCGUCCCGUGGUGUCCGGUCUUGGUCUCUCGUCCUGCUCGGAGUCGUCGGCCGCCCCGGUGGGGGCGGAGGCCUCGUCCUUGCCGCGGGCUGGGGAGGUGCCCUGGGUGCAUCCUCGCCCGUCCAGGCGCGCCAUGUGGCGUCGACGCCAUGACCCUUCUGCGCCUCCGCCGCAGGUCNNNNNNNNNNNNNNNNNNNNNNNNNNNNNNNNNNNNNNNNNNNNNNNNNNNNNNNNNNNNNNNNNNNNNNNNNNNNNNNNNNNNNNNNNNNNNNNNNNNNNNNNNNNNNNNNNNNNNNNNNNNNNNNNNNNNNNNNNNNNNNNNNNNNNNNNNNNNNNNNNNNNNNNNNNNNNNNNNNNNNNNNNNNNNNNNNNNNNNNNNNNNNNNNNNNNNNNNNNNNNNNNNNNNNNNNNNNNNNNNNNNNNNNNNNNNNNNNNNNNNNNNNNNNNNNNNNNNNNUCCAGGAUGGGCACUUCCGGAAGGACUGCACCAACGACAUCGUGUGCUUCAGAUGUGGUCUGUCUGGCCACGGCUCCAGGGACUGCAAGCGCCCCCGCAGUCCGGCGCCGCCGGAGGAGUUGAGGCGGAGGGUCGUGGCCAAGGUGUCGCGCCAGGGCGGCUGUGCUGCGCCUGCUGGCAGGGGCUCCGGUGGGCAGCCCGGAGGCCUUCCCGCGAGGCAUGGCGCGGGGUUCCCCGCUCCGCCGCCGCCUCCGCCGCCCUCCCCGCCGUCCUCUGCCCCGUCGACCUGGCCUCGCCUCCCGGCGCCGAGGCUGGUCCUUCCCCUGGAGUCGGAGUUCGAUCCUGCUGAUCUGUGCAUGGUGCGCCGUUCCCAGUCCAUGGAGGACAUGGAGCAGCGUAUGCAGCUGUCCAUGGUGGCGUACGCGGCUGGCGCGCGGCAGGAUAUCUCGCCGGAGUUCAUGUUGGAGGUCCUGCAGGCCAAGGCGGGCAUUGAGCCACAGUGGGUGUCGGUACAUCGCUUCCGGCCUGAGGAUUUCCUCAUCGUCUUCGCACGGCCCGAGCACAGGAGCCGGGUGUGCGCCAUGCCGUCUAUGGAUCAUCGUGGUGUUAGGAUGUUCUUCCGUCAGUGGAACCGGCAGGCUCAGACAGUUCACGCGGUGCUCCGGAGCAAGGUGUGGCUCGAGAUCGAGGGCGUUCCUCCCCAUGCUUGGGAGCGGGAGGUGGUGGAGCGUCUGCUGGGAUCGUCGUGCGUGGUCGAUGCAGUGGCGCCGGAGACGAGCUCCCGGGCUAACCUCUCGUCCUUCAAGCUUACGGCGUGGACGGCGGACCCGGAAACCAUCCCUACGCUCCGAUGGUUGGCGGUGCCGGAGCCUGGCCUGGGUCUGCAGCCCUCCCAGCCAGCGUUGCUGCAUUACAAGGUCCUCAUCCAUCUGGCGCAAGUUCAAGAUUUCACGGAAGCAGAGGAGCCAUGGUUCCUUGGAGGUUCUUCAUGCAGUGGGCAGAGUGGGAUGCCGGAUUCGGAUGGUAGCAUGGACGGAGGUGGUGGCGCUCCGGCUCGCCGGCGGACCUGGCAGUUCGGUGCUCGGGACGUCAGAGGUGGAGCGCAGGCGGGGCAUGGUGGUGGCCCGUCCAAGAGGGCUGGCGACGGUCGAGGGGGUGAGCCUGGCCGGAGUACGGCCGGCACGGCAUGGCGGCUGCCGGCCAUGGAGGAGUUGCCGAUGGUGGCACCGGUGGGCCAGUCGGCGCACGUCAGGGAUCGGAUUGCGGUCAGGCCCUCUGCUUUUGACCGGCUGACCAGGCUGGAGACACCAAGGCAGGAUCAGGUGGGACCCGCGGAACUUUCGUCAGAUGAUAGAGCUGUGGUGGUGGUAGUUGAUCAACGGUCUUCUCCGGCGGGCGAUGAGAUGGAGACAGGGGCCAGGGGCCUACAGGCGCAGCAGGGCCUGCACCAAUCGGCUGGCCUGGAAACGACUAGUCCAAGGCCACAGCUGGCUUCCAUGGUGGUGGGGCCGGCCGUGCAGGACCCAAUGGCACAGACGGGUGACGCCUGGGUUGGCGUGGGCCAACAGUUGGAUGCCCAGGGCGGGGAGAUCCCUAGGCCGGACUGCGAUCAGGGUGGGCCAAAGCCUAAUUGCGACGGCUAAUCGCAUGCCGUCCAGAACGGGGGGUCUCCGAGGCGGAUCCGCGUGAUGGUGGGGCCAGAGUUGGAGGGGGACAGGACCGCUGUCUCGGCUGAUAGGGGAGAUGUGGCGACGGCCGCUACGCGCCAGGCACGCCCUGCGGAGGCGGUUGCGAGGGACCCGGCUCAGGACAAUGAUUGUGGGACUCUUCCUACGAGGCUGGAGGUGGAAUAUUCUACACCUGCAUUGGAUCUUGCGAUCGUGCCAAGGACUGAUGGUAACCAUGCAUGCAUGGACACUGUUCACGUAGCGUCCGGGGAUUCCGCUGCAUGCAUGGGCGCGUCCCAACAGGAAACGGAGGGCAUGACAGCACAGGAAGUGGUGGCUUAUGGCAAGCUUAAGAGUUUCUGCACGAACAUUAUCAAGAAAUUGGCACCACCGCUGCUCCGUGAAGUCCAAGAAUCGCACCUACGAACGGAGGCGGAGCCGUUCACGCCAAAACGCACGACGCGCGCAUCCAAGAAGAUGGCAACUGCGAGCCGGUCCAAGGAUAGUCCAGUUGAGAAUGUGCUGCUGCAUGCUCUGGGUCUAGUUCCAGAUGACCUUGUGGUGGAUGAUGGGGUGGUAAAGGAGCUGAAGGCACUGUUCGAUUCCCCCCUUCGUGAGCAGCAUGUCAGGGUCAUCGCGGCUCUCUUCGGAAGACGGUGCCCAGUGAACAGGAGAUGAACGUGGAGAACGCGGUGGUGGUGUGUACGCGCUAAGCGGCCCGUGGUGGUGUUGGUGGUCGAUCCUUCAUGGAUUCACACCCACAUGUGUUGUGCUAGAAUGUACGUGGCCUCAACAAUCCAGCCAAGAGGAAGGCCGUUAGCGAGUUCAUUAGCUCAGUUAAGGUGAACUUGGUGUGUCUCCAAGAGACUAAAAUGGAUGUAAUGGAUCAGUUUACUGUGAUGCAAUGCUUGGGGCCAUCUUUUGAUGGUUUCUCCUACCUGCCGGCUGAGGAGACUAGAGGGGGAUCCUUAUCGCGUGGAACACCUCGGCUCUAUGGGUGGAUAACUUAGUCCCCAAUGCCAAUUUUAUUUUGGGGUUGGUGCAUACCAGGGAGGGACAACCUUGGUGGAUCUCGGUGGUGUAUGGACCGCAGAGUGAUGAGCUGAAGACGCAAUUCUUGGAGGAUUUGAGGGCUAGGAGGCUGUUGUGCCAAGGACCAUGGAUGAUUUUGGGGGACUUUAACAUGAUCCUUCGCGCCUCUGAGAAAAACAACUCUAACGUCAACCGGACCAUGAUGGGGAAGUUCAGGGAUUUUGUUGACGACCACGAGCUCAAGGAGAUGUACAUGCACGGCAGGAGGUUCACGUGGUCGAAUGAGCGAGACACGCCCACGUUUACUAAGAUUGACAGGAUCCUUAUAUCCGUUGAUUGGGAGUUGGAAAAUGCAGAAUACCUCCUCCAGGCGCUCUCCACGGGAGUCUCUGAUCACGCGCUGCUGUUGCUUACUACGAGUGUGGGAUUCUGCCCCAAACGCAGGUUCCGGUUUGAGCUUUUUUGGACUAGGUUGGAUGGGUUUGAGGAGGCGGUGCAGGAGGCUUGGGUGUGCGACCCCGCGAUCAUGGAUUCGUACGCCAGACUGGAUGCACUGAUGAGGAAUGCGGCUGCAUCGCUUCAGGCUUGGGGUCAGCGCAAGAUUGGUAACGUCAAACUCCUAAUGCGGGUGGCCACUUGGGUGAUUCAUAAGCUGGAUGUUGCACAAGAAUGAAGAAGGCUGGAGCUGAGAGAGAUUUGGUUGCGUCGCACGCUGAAACAAGCUCUGCUUGGCAUGGCAGCCCUGGAACGCACUAUUGACAGGCAGCGCUCGAGAAUGAGAUGGCUCAAGGAGGGUGACGCAAACUCCAAAUUGUUCCAGGCGGUGGCCAAUGGAGGCAGGUCAAAGAACUAUAUUUCGCGUAUCAGAGUUGGAGAGCAGAUCAUUGUGGAGCAAGAGAACAUGGAGGAUGCCUUCUUCCAUGCGUAUAAGCAGUUGCUUGGUACGGCCCAAGCUAGGGAGCACACCCUGGAUCUCCAAUUCAUGGGGAUCGCCCCUCACGAUCUUCAGGAGCUGGAAGCCAUGAUUACGGAGCAGGAGGUUUGCGAGACUGUAAAGGAGAUGCCACCUGACCGUGCGCCGGGGCCGGAUGGGUUCAUUGCCGCUUUCUAUCAGCGGGCCUGGCCUAUCAUCAAGCAUGAUGUUAUGGCGGUUAUGAUGAAGCUUUAUGUUGCGGAUGGUAGGGGCUUUGCUAAGCUGAACAAGGCACAUAUCGUUCUCAUUCCUAAGAAGCCAGAGGCAGAGGAGAUUGGAGACUUUCGGCCUAUUAGUCUUACACACAGCGCCCCCAAGCUAUUUGCAAAGGUUCUCGCUAACAGGCUUCGAAAAUGCAUGCCGGAGAUCGUGGGCAUGAACCAGUCGGCAUUCAUUAAAGGACGGCACCUGCACGAUAACUUCCUCCUUGUGAGGCAAGUGGCCAGGAAAAUUCACGAUCGCAGGGCGCCAGGGGUGCUCCUCAAGCUGGAUAUCUCGAGGGCCUUUGAUUCCUUAUCGUGGCCCUUCCUCUUUGAGGUCCUGGAAGCUAAAGGGUUUGGGAGAAGAUGGUUGCAAUGGUUGGCGAUUCUGCUGCACUCGGCGAGCACCAAAGUUAUUGUCAAUGGCGUGCCAGGUCGGAGGUUCUACCACGCUAAGGGUUUGCGCCAGGGCGACUCGAUCUCCCCGCUUUUGUUCGUCAUCGCCAUGGACGUGCUGACAUCGUUGGUUCAUAAGGCAAUGGAGCUUGGAGUGGUGAGCUCAUAUCGUGGGAUCUCGGCAAUGCAACGGAUCUCUAUUUACGCGGACGAUGUGGCCAUCUUCAUUAAGCCCACCACCACAGAUCUGGUGUUCAUCACCGCGGGGUUGGAGAUAUUCGGUCAGGCCUCAGGAUUGCGUGUUAACUAUCGUAAGUCGUCGGCUAUUUUGAUCUGUGGUGAUGUUGUGGACAGUGCCAGAGUGGCCAGAGUUCUACAAUGUGGCAUUACGGAGUUCCCCUGCAGGUACCUGGGGCUGCAGCUCACCAUCAGAUGCCUCACCAGAAGCGACUGGCAACCCAUGCUUGACAAAGUUAAACUUUUCGUGUCGGGCUGGCAGAGAGGGCUUAUUCAGCGCCCAGGACGGCUUAUUCUUGUGCAAUCGGUGAUCUCCGCCAAGCCAAUUCAUCACCUUAUGAUUAUGGAUGCUCCUGACUGGGUGUUUGAGGAGAUGGACAAGUGGAUGCGCUCCUUCUUCUGGGCCGGGAAGGACAAGGUGAAUGGAGGCCAAUGCCUCAUUGCUUGGAGUAAUGUAUGUCGACCCAAAUGCUAUGGUGGCCUUGGUGUGAAGAACCUCAAGCUACAAGGGCUAGCUAUGAGGGUUAGAUGGGAAUGGUUAAGACGGACAGAGCCCAACAGGCCUUGGCAGGGGCUGUCCAUGACCACGGAUCUGGAGGCUCGUGAGGUCUUUGAUAGUCUGGUGGGCAUCGAAGUGGGGAGAGGCGAUCGGGUGCUUUUUUGGAGGGAUCGUUGGAUCCACGGUUUUGCAGUUAAGCACAUUGCCCCGCUUGUGUUCGCCAUGGUGCCGACUCGAGUAAUCAACAAACACACGAUUGAGCAGGCUCUCACCGACAGCAGCUGGUUGGAGGACUGCCAGAUGGGAUUUUCUUUCAUGGCCCAGCUUCAGCUGAUGCAUCAUCCAGGCCAUUGGCACGGUACCUAGGGAUGCGGAGAGCUUGGAUGUGUUCACCUGGCCUUGUUCCAGCUCGGGCUCAUACUCUGCCAGAUCGACUUAUGCCAGACUUUGCGUGGGUCACACCAGGUCGCCCUUCGCGACAUGCGUUUGGAGGAGCUGGGCACCUCUGAAGUGCAAAAUUUUUGCCUGGCUUGCUCUGCAGCACCGCAUCUGGACCUCUGAUCGGAGGGCACGUCACGGCUUACAGGACGAAACAUCUGCUUGCUACACCUGCUUACAAGAUGAAGACAAUGCCGACCAUAUCCUAGGCGCUUGCACCUAUGCACGGGAGGUUUGGCACAGGCUCUGGGACCUUCUCGGGAUUAACGUACCAGGACACGUGGCUGGUGAAACGAUUCUAGACUGGUGGCUUAGGGCAAGGAAGGUCUUUCACUCUGCAGAUCGGAGGGGGUUUGACUCCACUUUCAUCGCGAUGAUCUGGGCGCUAUGGAAACAACGGAAUGCACGGGUCUUCAAUAGGUUAGAGCAACAACGUACCCCAACAGAGCUUGUGUUGAUGUUGCUAGAUGAGGUUGCCGAGUGGAAGGCAGCCGGGUUGGGUGUAGGAGGACUCCAACGAUUUGUGAGGAGUUAGUAUAGGGUCCUAGGCUGGUGUGGGUGUUGGUUUGUAUCUGUGCUACACGUUUGUUCACAUUCGUGGCGCACGUCAUGUAAUAAUUUCUCUCCUUCUAUAAAAAUAUGGUACGUCUUUGGCGUACUUUCAAAAAAAAAAUCUCCCCGUGAAGAGAUAAGAUAAGGUCCAGGCAAAGCGGUGGGCAGUUAUCGGAGCAAUAAGGACGGUUGAUUUGCAUCUGAUCUAACGACGCGCGCUCGGCCGGCCGAACUUUCGGCCGGCGUGCCGGUUUCAAACGUUUCCUUUUGUCGGGGAAAAAGAGUGAUCGGACAGUCAAACACGGCAGAUUGUGUGGUGUGGGAGGCGACGGAUCGGUCGACCGACGCCUAGUACCUGCCUUCGCCGAAUAGGGCGCGCAGGCGGAGGGUGUAGGGGUACAAGGCGCCGCCGGCCGAGGGCAUGCUUUGGCCCAGACCGGCGUCAGCACGGGCUCGGCCGAAGCAUCACGGGCAGCCGUCCUGCCGGCCCGCCUCCAGCCCCCGACUGAAAGACAAAGGAGUGUCCUGCUCUUCCAAGGUUCAAAUGGCAUGGUGUCACUGUCCGACUCCCGAGCCGAGACGAAGCUGCCAAGCGCCAGUUAAGGCGGAAGAAAAAGAGGCAUCCCCCGAUGCGAAUGUGCCGGCACAGGGGGAGGUCCUGCCUUCCCAGGAUACUUCGCCCCAGGUUCCACCAAUCCUCACUGUUCGCCUCCCCUUGACUCUUGAUUGAUUUUUCUCAGCUCACGAUUCGGUUCCAAGAUAGCAAUAUAGUCCAGUUGCACAUGGUGGCUUUUGUAUGAUUAGCACUGCCGCGCUGAUGCAUAUGUAUAGUUGGGGAAUUUAGUUGAAUUUCGAGAUCUUUAGCUGUUUCGUGCCUAGAACAGAACAGGGGGAGGGGGGUUUGGGGGAGAAUGUCUGGUGGGCUCAAGAACAAGAAGAAGAAGGGCCACGAGUGGGAUUUGAACGACUGGAGAUGGGACGGCAACCUCUUCCUGGCCACGCCGUCGCCAAACGCGGACGCUCCGUCAGGGUGCGGCAGCAGGGAGCUUGGGCUAGCAGAGGAGGGGGGCAGUUUUGGUGCUGCUGCUGCUGACAAGAGGAGGAGGAGGAAGAGAGUCACCACAGUGGAUAACCCCGAGGAGUGCAGCAACACUGCGAUUCUUCAUCAUGAAAGGAUUGCUGUUCGGAGAGGACAGAUGGGCGAAGAAGAGGGACCUGCCAGUGCAACAGCAGGUGCAUCUUCCAGCUCUGCUCCAUCUUGCCAAGUCGACGGCUGCCACGCGGACCUCGGCGACGAUAGGGACUACCACAGGAGGCACAAGGUGUGCGAACCGCAUACCAAGUCGACUCUUGUUCGUAUCAAAAACAUCGAGCAUCGGUUUUGCCAGCAGUGCAGCAGGUUAGUCAGCAAUUAAUUUCUUCAUGCCUAAACUUUUAAUGGUGUAAAGGGGAAGAAUCAUUUGACAUUUGUCUCUAGGUUUCACCUUGUUCAAGAAUUUGAUGAAGGGAAGAAGAGCUGCCGCUCACGUCUGGCAACACAUAAUAGAAGGAGGAGGAAAGCCCCAGCUGAGGCUGUUAAUUCCUUGGGUGAAAAUCAGUCCUUAACCAACACCUUACUCCUCUUGUUGAGACAACUCGCUGGACAAGAUUGUAAGUUUCUCGGAUCGUAUGUACGGCGCAGUGCUAUACAUUGAUUUUUACUGGUUCAUAUGCGAUCGAUCGAUCCAUGCUCAUAUAACCUCAGUGUUAUGUCUUCGCAGCUGCUGCUAGCUCAUCUGAGCAAAUCAAUGGUCCCAAUCUUUUGGUUAGUCUUUUGAAGAACCUUGCUGCUGUUGCUGGCACACAGGCAUGUCAAGAUAUGCUAAAGGAUGCAACCUCAUCAAAUGCUGGUAACUAUGUUGGGAAUCAAAGUGGACCACCAGUUCAUGCAGGUAAAUAGCCCUUUGAUUAACUGCUGCUGCUGCUGUUGCACAAGGCAAAUAAGUACACAUUCUGAAAUUAAAUGAUGUGUGGACCACUUGACAUGUGUCCUCAGAAGAGCCUCCUGUGAAAAGACGUGCGCAAAAUUUUGAUCUAAAUGAUGCUUAUGUCGAGGAAGAUGAGGUACAUUAUUUAGGUUGAUUCUCUUGGGUUUUCCUGCUGACUAAUUGCGUCUCAGCUGCAGCACCCCUGAUGCCCCAAAACAUUUGCAGAGCCGAACAGAUAAAAUUGUCUUCAAGCUUUUUGGUAAACAGCCAAAUGAUUUUCCUGCGGAUCUACGUGCACAGGUCAUUUACCAUAUGCAAAUUGGGAAUAGUGCCUCUCUUUGACAACUUUAUCUCUUCAUUUUUUUUGACUAUUUAUUUCUUCAAGUUUUUGGUUCAAAUUGUUUUUUAUUUGCAGAUCCUAAACUGGCUGUCACAUUAUCCUAGUGACAUGGAGAGCUAUAUCAGGCCUGGUUGUGUAAUUCUAACUAUUUACCUUCGUCUUCCUAACUGGAUGUGGGAUAAGGUAGCGCUGCUAAUACUAGCGUUCUAAACAUGCUUAUCUGUUACCAAGUGAAUAAACUGCUUACGAAUUCAAAUAGCAAAACCUAAAUUAUGAACCUUGGAUAGAUAAGCAUAAUCCUCACUUACUGUUAUUUUUCUUUUGUCUGAAUUCCUCUAAAGCUUAAUGUCGAUCCAGCUCCUUGGAUAGAAAAUCUCAUUAGCAUAUCCACAAAUGGUUUCUGGGAGACAGGAUGGCUGUAUGCUAGGGUGCAGGACCGCCUCACAUUAAGCUGCAAUGGUUUGUUCGCCUUAUUUCUCUCUUUAUAUUACACCCUUGUUCUUUUUCUAUUUUUAUAUGUGGUUUCCCUUUCUUUGCAGGCAGGCUUAUGUUAGUGUCUCCCUGGCAACCUGUAAUAGGUGACAAGCAUCAGAUACUGUGUGUAACUCCUAUUGCGGCUGCCUAUAAUUCGACGGCAAAGUUCUCAGUGAGAGGCUUCAACAUAGUUCAACCAACCACAAAGUAGGUACCACGCAUUAGUCUGCACUCUGCACUGACCUGACCUGGAUUUUAUCUGACUGACAAUAAUGAUGAUAUUCGUUACAGAUUACUCUGUAUAUUUGAUGGGAAAUAUUUAGUCCAAGAAGCAACACAAAAACUACAUGAUGAUACUAGGAUUCAGCAAGGCCCUAAAUGUCUGACCUUUUCUUGCUCCUUCCCUAGUACAAGUGGAAGGGGGUUCAUAGAGGUGAAUUAUCCCUUUGGUGUUCUUUCAGUUGUUUCUCUUUAUGCAUGCUCAUUUCCCUUUUUAAAUUACGUAAUUUCUUGAUUCCUUUUCCAGGUUGAAGAUUAUGAUCAGAGCAGCAUUUGCUUCCCCUUUGUUGUCGCCAAAGAAUCUAUAUGUUGUGAGAUUAGAAUGUUGGAGGAAAAACUGAAUAUAAUUGCAUUUGGUGAUGCCUUGGAAGGAAGAGAAGAUCUGAUGGCUUCUCGCAGCCAAGCCUUAAAGUUUCUACAUGAAAUAGGGUGGCUUCUCCAAAGGAGCGACACACGAGCUACAUCAUCCAAGGCUCCGCAACAACAUCAUGCGGUGGGCUUUUCUGCUGCAAGAUUUAGGUGGCUCCUGUCCUUUGCGGUUGAUCAGGAAUGGUGCGGCGUGGUAAAGAUGCUGCUGGACACCUUGUUCCAGGGCAAUAUCGAUGUCGCCUCACCAGUUGAGUUUGUCCUGGGAGAGAGCUUAGUAUUCGCAGCUGUCAACAAGCGGUCGAAGCCUUUGGUUGCCUGCCUAUUGAGAUACACAACGAAAUCUGCACCGGUGGGCGGUGGAGCCGUGGCCACACCAGCCCAGUUCUUGUUCACGCCUGACAUGAUUGGUCCAUCGGAUAUUACACCUCUCCAUGUUGCAGCUACCAUCACUAAUGCUGCUGCCGUUUUGGAUGCUCUGACUGAUGAUCCCCAACAGGUACUUGCACUGAACUCUCAUGCUAAUUUUUUUUCCUGAAUUGAUAAAUUUUCCACAGCUACAACAACAACAAAAAAAAACUAGUGUGUGUGCAAAUCAGAACCUUGUUGAGUAGUAACAGCAGAGUUCUACAUCGGUGUUGGAUCAAAGACAUUGAAACUAUGGUUAAUGAGUCGCUUCUGCUUGCAACAUUUUCUCCCUGUCUUUUAUUUUCUUUCCUGAACUCAUGCGGCGUAAAUGUGGCAGCUGGGGAUCAAAACGUGGAAGAAUGCCCGCGAUGCUACUGGGUACACUCCAGAGGAUUGCGCCCGGCGGAGAGGACAAACCUCCUACAUCCAGAUGGUCCAGAACAAAAUCAACAGCAGGUUACCUGCAGCCCAUGUGUCUGUUCCCAUGACCACCACUGGUACCGCCGCAGAAGCAGGUCGGCCGAGAUCAACUGAUCAGACCGUAUUUGAAUUCGAGAAAAGCCCACCGGGAUGCAGACAGUGUGUCCAGCUCCAGCACAUUGCCUACCGGCCCUGCCCAAACAGGUUCUUGUCGAACAGGCCUGUGGUGCUAUCCCUGGUCGCCAUUGCCGCUGUCUGUGUCUGCGUAGGGUUGAUAAUGCAGAGCCCGCCGGUCGUCCGCGGUGUGCCAGGCCCUUUUCUCUGGAAUCACAUCCGUUGGGGACCCACUUGAAACGGCCAGUCGGCUGCAGGUUCUGCUAUAGUCUGUGUACUCGAGAGUGAGGAUGCUUGUGAUGGACCAAAGUGCAAAUUAUGUACAUUAUAUGAGUUGUGGAGUGCCUAACUCUGCUUCAGUGCUUAGGUAGAGUACAGUUCUAUUGCAUAUUCAACCUUUUCAUGGCUGUGCUGCGAUUGAGAGAAAUGGUCACAAGAGCCCGGUAUACCUUCCUACUGAGGUGGCCGGCAAGCAUCACCUCGCAAUUCUCUGCGUGCAGGAGACCAAGAUCGAUAUUUGGGCAGCGGGUAAUUGGCCCGCGUGGCGGGGCAGCCAUUUUAUGAGACAAGGAGAUCCCGACCAUGACAUCGCACACAAUUGGGGGCGCUUCUCCAUCACUGCCAACGUUUCCAUAAUCGUCGGCCUCCUUUGGUGAACCUUGGCUGAUCAAUGAUGACUUCAAUUUGAUCUAUGAGGCUAGAGAAAAAAUAACCACAAACUUAACAAACGUAUUAUGGGUAUAUUUAGAGCUGCCAUCGAUGCUGCGGGGCUGCGUGAAAUCAAAUGCAAGAAUAGAAGAUUCACGUGGAAUAACGAGAGGGGGGGUCCUACGCUUGUUAGCAUUGAUAAGUUCUUUUGCAACAUUUGUUGGGAGGCGUUGUUUCCAUCUUUCCUCCUGAUGGCGGCAUGGACAUCAUGCUCUGACCACUCCCCCCUCCUCCUAGCUAGUGCUACCGCCCCCACCGGCUUACGCGGUUCCGUUUCGAGUCCUUUUGGCCGUGCUUCCCCCACUUCAACAAGACGGUCACCAAGGCAUGGCAACGCCUGAGCAGCACAGUUGCGCCUUCGCGUCGGAAGAUUAAGAUGCAGCGGACAACAAGGGUGCAAUUCCAGAUUACAAAUGAGGUCUUCUUGCGUCUCCAUGUCAUGCCGGAAAGUAGGCAGCUCACAACCGCGGAGUUCAACCUAACAAGGCUUCUUAAGAAGCUCAUAAUCAGGCUCGCUGCCAUUGAGCGGACGAGGAAGAGGCGGAUCACCGGGCUUCAGGGGAGGAAGCGAACACGUCCUUCAUCCACGCGAAAGUGUCUCCGCGACGAUGCAAGAACUUCAUCCCUCCAUCCAGGCGGCGAACCAAACGGCGAUGGCCCAUGCUGACAAAGAGACGAUCGUUCAUGAACAAUUCAAUCAGAUUCUCGGAACUAGAUGCCCCCCUCAGUGCACUAUCGUCUCCAACAAUACCUCCAUCAUCAUUAUGGCCACCAACAGCCCCUUCAUCAUCACCAUCAUGCUCCUCUCCUCUAUGUGUGAGUAAUUUCUUGUAGGCACAUGGGGUGGAUCUGAUCCAGGUGAUGGAAAAUCAUGUAAUAGUGUUAAGAUUGAUGUAGUAUUGACCUCUGGUGUUUGAGAAUUAUUGUUGAUAUGACUUUGUUGUGCCCAAUGUUUAUUAUUAGGGCUUGGGUAAUAUGAUUACAGAUCUGAACCAUAUUUAUCUUUUGUGUUUUUUUGUUUCUGAUUGUGCCUCGAGGAUGACAGACCGUGGUAUCAAUGGGGUCGGCUAAGGAUUACAUAUAUUCAUGAAGUGUUAAUGCAUUAUUCUGGUUGACCCGCAAGGUCAUCUUAGUAACCCUUAGUUUCGUUAUGGACCUCGAAGCAAACAGGGGUUAGACUGUAGAUGAGAGACAAGUGUUCUUAAGCAUGUUUCUCAAUUUAAGGAAUACAUACCUACAUUGUUCAGGGUAAUCCAGAAAUAAUGCACUAUGUAAUGAUUUAUUCUGUCUGGGCAAUAUCCACCCAUGUGACCAUGUUUUCCAUCACUAAUUGCUCUCUUUCAAAUGCUUGAUACUUGGCAAUUGUUGGGUAUUUGUUGCUUGUUACCGUGUUCUGUGUUACUCUGCUGCAAUCUACACCAAUCGAUCCAGUUGAUACUUAGUAAGGUAAACACUGAAAGUGCAAAGAUAGCUUUGUGAGUGACACAUAUAACUUGAAAGAAAUAGGAAACCUACCUUUAGCUCCCAUGGGCUUCAACAUGUUGGAAAUAUGCCAUAGAGGCAAUAAUAUUGUAUUAUUUAUUUCCAUGUUUAUAAUUAAGAGUUUUUAUUCUAUGCUAUAACUAUCCUGGAAUAUGUGAUUCAGUGGAAAACGCAUAUGCACAUGUGGAAUGAUAAACGGUAAAACCUGAUUCGUAGUAUUGCCUCUGGGACUAGCUCAAGUGUUGUAAGUAGUGAUCACAUUUUCCGAAUCUUGGGAUAUCAUUAAGUGUAACAGUAGUUCCAAAAUAACUUUGAGAAUAUGAUGUUGGAAGAAUGAUCAUAUUGAAUUUACCCAAUUUGUUUGUUAUACCUUGAGAUACUAUCGUCACAAGUCAAUCAUUAUAACACAGAGAGUUAACGUAUGCUUUGGUUCCUUAGACCAUGAGAGUAUCGUAGUCACUUCUUACCGUACAAUGGACUUUGGGAUUGCUCAAACAUCAUCUAUAACACGAUGAUCAUAACGACAACUAACAGAUUCAUCGGAAAGUUUGUCAAGGGGCUAGAUAGCUCAAGAGUGGGAUUUGCUCCUCCGAAGAUGGAGAAAUCACUACUAGGGAAAACCUUAUACACAGAAUCUUACCCAGCAGCGCUAUCCAAAAUACAACGCUACUGCUAUUUAGCAGCAGCGCGUUCAAGAAAAACGUGUUGCUGAAAGAAAAAUAGCAGUAGCGCGUCCCCUCUAAACCGCGCUACUGCUCUAAUUGCCAUGACCUCGCCAUCCAGCUAGUUAUAGCAGUAGCGCCCUGUAACGAACCGCGCUACUACUAUAGAUGUUAGCAGUAGCACACUUCUGUAAAACACGCUACUGCUAAGUUCGGCCCACAAGUUUAGUCCCACCUCGCUCCGCGAACAGGGUGUUUACCACCUUAAAUAUGUUACUUCUCAAACUAUCACAACCACUUGAUCUUCACUGAACUCUAUGUGUAGAAUUUGUGGCCGCAAUAUGAGUCUGCUCCGGUUCCUACCGGAGAGGACUCAUAUUGACAAUUCAGAUUGUACACAAAAAGAUCAUUGAUGGCCAAUGUAUUUCUGCAUUGACAGACAAUGUAUUUUUGCAUGCUUACACUUAGCAGUAGCGCUUUUAGUAGCAAAGCGCUACUACUAGUCCAAUUUAGCAGUAGCGAGCAUCCCCGAACAGCGCUACUGCUAUUCUCAUUAGUUGUAGCGCGUUUUCGUACCCGCGCUACUACUAACCCUACCUUAUGUCCACGCGCGCAGCCGACCCUCUCUCUCACUCACUCUCCCCCUCUCAGUCGCUCUCGCCCGCGCCGAUAACCAUCAUCGUCCGUCGCCGCCGCCGCCGUCGUCCGUCGGCCACCGAGGUAAUCCCUCCUUCCAUCCCUCCUCCUCCCACCGCGCCCUCCUCCCUCCUCCUCCCACCGCACCCUCCUCCCUCUUCCUCCCACCGCGCCCUCCUCCCUCCGCCUGCGGCCGCCCCCUCCUUCCUCCUCUGUCGGCAGNNNNNNNNNNNNNNNNNNNNNNNNNNNNNNNNNNNNNNNNNNNNNNNNNNNNNNNNNNNNNNNNNNNNNNNNNNNNNNNNNNNNNNNNNNNNNNNNNNNNNNNNNNNNNNNNNNNNNNNNNNNNNNNNNNNNNNNNCCCUCCCCCUCUCUCUCCUCCCUCCCUCCCUUGUCUCUGUUCUUGCAAAUUGUAGGUGUUUUGAAUAAAAUAGAAGUAAGAAAAUUUAGGGUAGAACUAGGGUAGUAGAAUUUUUAGCAAGUGUUUAAUAGAAAUAGUUUAUUUAGUAAGUGAUUAAUAUAACUAGUUUAUUUAUAUUAAGUGCUUAAUAGAACUAGUUUAUUUAGUAAGUGCUUAAUAGAACUAGUUUAUUUAUAGUAAGUGCUUAAUAGAACUAGUUUAUUUAGUAAGUAGUUAAUAAAACUAGUUUAUUUAGUGUUAGGAUUAUAUAUAAGAUAUUUCAAAUGUUUUUUUUUCAUAUUUUGAACCAUUGAAAUGCAAUGACCAUCGAUAAGUGGCCUAUGUUUUGCCGGAUUGUUGAUUAAUUUCUGUUCCGGCAAAUUUCAGGCGCUCGAUAUGUCCUUUUUUAGCAAAGGUCAUGCCGGAUUUUUUGGGUUUUGCCGGCAAGUUAUAAUCUUUGAAUUUUGAACACAGGAGAUGUCUGAUGAUGAUGGGAUCCCAGAGUUCGGGUACUGCUACAAUGACCGUGGUGUGUGCGACAGGUUUCCUCACCUGCAAAAUGAUAGGUUUUUCACCGUGUAGCUGAAAGAGACCUUCGAUGUUUGUACGGUAUGCAACGACAAGCAUUUCAUCGUAAUAAAUAUCAUCACUUGUGCUUCUUUUGUUCAACGUGUAAUUUAUGGAUUUUUUUUCGAUUCGACUAGUACAUCCCGUGCAAUGCUAAACCAUAUGUAUUGGAGAAGCUUGGUGUCAUGACCGAUUUUCCAAUAAAACAUUUAUUGAGAAACCGACCUUUUUAUCGGACCAGUAUAGGAAAUCUUCCUUACCAGUAGACAAAUCCUUGAUACAGACAUCCAGUAGUACUAAAUAUUAUACAAGGUUGAGCUGAGGCUGCUCAACAAUUUAUUACAAGGACGCCGAUAAUAUACAUAAAGGCGGAUAUAGCACACGGAGUAUGGUGGCAUACUACUGACUCGUAAUAAAAGUGGUGGUGGAUAUGUCACAGUGAAGUGGGUGACAUGACUCCUAAAUCUUACAGCUCAUCGAGCGCUGGAGUGAGGCUCGGUGAAUUUAUUUGGGUAGCGGAAGCGUAUAUGAUACAAGUGACCAAUUCCAGGAUCGCACGAGACUGACUGGGACUCCUCUAGGCGUCGGACUCGCUAUCGUACUCUUCAUCCAUAAGAUCGCCUUCGUCAAUAUCUGGCCAAAUCAACAAGCCAGGUGAGUACUUUGAAUGUACUCGCAAGACAGUUUGGACAUAAGAUAUAACAAAUGCAAACAUGAUGCACAUGAGCAGAUUAGAAAUGCACACUCAAAUAAUAAAUUUGCGCGGCAGGUUAAAUAUAAAGGAAGUCAGGCGGUAGUCCUCCCGAAAUCCCAAUAAAAUAACUGAAGACCGAUCGAGUGUCUGAAGCGACGCCUCGAAAGGAAAAAUAAAUUAACAUGCCGCAGUCGGGCGUCUGAGCGACACCACAUAAAGGGAUUAUAUUGAAAUGUAAAUGACAGUGCGUGCCACAGUCGAACGUCUACGCGAUAUCUCGGAAAGGGCUUAUAAUGAAAGUAAAUAACAUGGAUGCCACAGUUGGAUGUCUGAGCGACAUCACAUAAAGGGCUUAUAACAAAAAGAUAAACAACCAGAAUGCCGCAGUCGGACAUCUGUGCGACGUCACAUAAAGGGCUUAUAACAAAAUAAAUAACAAGAAUGCCACAGUCGGACGUCUAUGCAACGUCACAUAAAGGGCUUAUAGCAAAGAAAAUAAACCACAAGAAUGCCACAGUCGGACGUCUACGCGACGUCACAUAAAGGCCUUAUAUUUCAUCAUCCGAACUCAAUUUGUUCAUGAAAUUAAGUCAUUCCAAGAAAAUACUCAGUAAUAAUAAGCAGGUUAGUCCAUCCACAGGAAUAACAUUCAGCCGGGUUUACCACUCAUGUUUGUUCACCGGAGAUUGUCACUGAAACUGACCCUGAGACUGACAUAGAUAAGUUGAUUAUAGUCCUUGACCAUAGAUAUGGUUACUCGAAUGAUUUUGACUCUGCAGAGUUUGUACUAUUUAACCACAGCCAACGGAUUCCAGUAGUCACAACAGACUAGUUCCGUUUAAGGUAUUUCAGAGGAAACUCAUCUAACCAGUACACACCCAUUCCACAUCCCGAUGCCAGGAAUCACCCUAGGCAACGUUCAAGAAAAACUUUGAGACGAGGAGGCCACAACCUCGAGUAGCAUGGGAUCAAAUUUAUAUCGCACGCUCUAAGGGGUGCCCCCCUCUCGGUCCCAACCGAAAACAGCCAUGCCCCCUGACCGGAUGACUGGCUUUAAUUCAGGGCCAUGGAACCCUCAUCACGUCCCCUCUAUUUGAUAUGUACGAGGAAAGAGGUUUGCAACCUACUAAACCAUAUUCUUUGCAGAAAACAUGUGGUAGCACACAAAAAGGGGACGGACGGUAACGCGACUUGAUCCACGUUAACACUGGAGUCAAAUGGUUUGGCAUAAUACUGGCAUGCUUCAACAAUACCAUCUUACCACCUUUCAUGUCACCACCUGAUCAGGUUAUCUCCCAUCAAAUAACACAUCGAGUUUCGAAGCUCACUUGUAGAUGCUUUGCACGCAAUAUAACACUUACCGAUGCUUAUAUAAACAUGCCAUGAAAUAACUACUCAAGCAAACAUGCAAAACACUCAUCAUAUCAAAGGUUCAAACAUGCUUGCCUGGUUCGGAGUAGUCGGAGUCUAGCUCGGCGAAGUUCGCGGUUCCGUCACCUCCUCCGGUAUCUACGGUAUAAAGAAAUCGCAUACUAACGUAAAUACUGUGCGUGCAUAAAACUUGUCCCAAAUAUUUUUCAAAUAAAUAUGAUAAAAAACUAGACAGAAAAAUAAAGAGGACAGAAAAAGAAUCAAUUCAAAAUCAUCUUUUGUUUAAAAGUUAUUAAGGUUUUAGUCCAGGGACUCAUCUGUAAUGAAACAAAAAGUUUCCAGGGGGUAGUUUAUAAAAAGACAGAAAAACGUUUCAGUUAGAAAUCGUAUUUUGCCCGAAGGCAUUUUCAGAAAACGGUUCGGAAAAGAGAAAAAGCUGACGUGGGGGUCCCACCCGUCAGGUUUGAAUUUGAAAACAGAGUCGCCGGCACCCAAGGGCUGCGGUGGUCGCCGACGGUGAUCCACGGCGAGGUAGGGGGAAAAGAGGGUACAUGCGGGUUCACUGAGUCCUUACGCACCUGUGGGUGGUGGAGUUGGUCGUCGGCGAGCACCACGUCAACGGCGGCCUCUACUCCGGCGGACGGCGGUUCGGGUGGUGAUGGGUCUCGUCGAGGAGGGCUGCAACCUUCAAAUUGAAGCUUGGGUUAGAAGUGUGGGUGCACUAGGAGGUGGCUGACAAGGUAUGGGAGGCGGGGUAGCUCUCACCGAAGCGGAUCUUGCCGGAGCCCGAAGUGGAUCGGGGCGGCCGGAGUCGGGGAAGAAGGCCUCCCCGAGGUCUUCCUAGUAGCUAGGCGUGGCUCUGGUGAGGUGGAGGGGUGAUGCAUGGUCGAGAUCGAGCUCGAGGCCCCCUUUUAUAGCCAGCCUGAGGCAGUUGCCGCGAUCGGGAUUUCUCCGGUGGUGAUUACGGUGAGGCAGUGGUUGAACGGGAGGUUUAGGGGUCGGGGCAUCUGCGGAGAGGUUCACUGGUUCCAUCCCGAGGCUAAGUUUGGCAAAACUUGGGCACUACUCCAUGCUCUUGAAGGAACGGCCUCACGGGGCUCGUCCGCGGCAGGGAGCACGCCCUGUGCUGCUCAGGCCACGGCGACGGUGCCACAGCAUGCACAGGAGAGCGGACAGCCACGCGGAGGUUGCUGGUGGUUUCGGCGGUGCUGGACGGCGCUGAAAGGCAGGGACGGCCCCUGCUGGCCGCCACGGGUGGUUCUGCCACCGCAGAAGACACCGGCGAUGAGGUACCACGUCACCACCGACACUUGCGCCCGUCCAAACGAUCGUGCGGUGCUCUGGAUAAGAAGAAGGAGUAGUGCGCAAUGAUCCAAGGUGGCUACUGGCGAGAUUGUCGACGGGUUCUGACGAAGACGACACCGCCGACUGAAUCUGAACACUGAAACUGAACUUUUAUGAAUUUUGCCAGAAAAUAGUGCAUGCCAGGUGUUCGAUAAAAUGUUUUUGGCAUGUGGAAAUUUCUUCUAGAGUUGAUCUUUGGUGAGGUGUCCUCUCAAUGCACCUGGGGGCUGCCUGAUUUAUCUCAGAAUUUUUGGAGAAGAAAAAUAAUGUAUUUCACCAAAAAUGGCAAAUCUAGUCCAAACUUGCAGCAAGAAAAAUUUGAAAAUUUUGAAUUGUGGACAGGUGGAUCUUGAUGGAUCUAGGUUGAGGGUACUAAGGACUAGCCAGGGGAGUUUGUUUAGUACCAAAACUCAAAAGGGAUCUGGUGGUUCCUUUGUAAAUCACCUAGGUCCAAAAUAAAUGACAGAAAUUGUUUUGAGGGUAAAAUAAAUAGAACAAAAAUAAAAAAUGGGUUGAACUUGCUGGGAUUGGAUAUUUGACUUGACCCAAAGUGGAGGGAGGGGUUUUGGAAGAAAAUUUCAACAUGUGACAAGGCAAAAGAGAAAUCUUUAAAAGGUAAAAGAGUAAAAACCAAAAAAUCCAUAGGAUUUCUUUUUAAUAGAAAUAAUUGCAAAACCCUCCAAUAUUAUUUGUGUUGAGCCAACCCAAUUUUGAAAAACCCUUAAGACUAAAGAUCAAGGUUGAGAAGGAUCCUAAAAAAUGUCAUGAAAGAAAGUUUGAGAGGGACAGUCCCUCAAAAAAAAGUUCAAACAAUUUCCUUUAAAUCAAAUAAGGAUUUUAAAUAAAAACCAAGUCCAAAUUUUGGAGUGUUAUAUUUGGUUUAGGUUUAGAUGACUUUGAGAAUGUGGAGGCGAGGAGGGCUCACUUAAGAACUAAACAUGGUUAUGAGUUUCUGGUUAAGUUCUAUAAUGCGGUCGAUCGCUCCCAUUUCGGUUGCCUUAAUUGGGAAGCUCUCUGCAAGGCAUAUGGAUUUGAGGAGGUGAUAACCCACAAGUAUAGGGGAUCGCAACAGUUUUCGAGGAUAGAGUAUUCAACCCAAAUUUAUUGAUUCGACACAAGGGGAGCCAAAGAAUAUUCUCAAGUAUUAGUAGUUGAAUUGUCAAUUCAACCACACCUGGAAACUUAGUAUCUGCAGCAAAGUGUUUAGUAGCAAAAUAAUAUGAUAGUGGUGGUAAUGGUAACAAAAGUAAAGACAACAAAAGUAAUGUUUUUGGUAUUUUUGUAGUGAUUGUAACAGUAGCAACGGAAAAGUAAAUAAGCGAGAACCAGUAUAUGGAAAACUCAUAGGCACCGGAUUAGUGAUGGAUAAUUAUGCCGGCCGCGGUUUGUCAUGUAACAGUCAUAACAUAGGGUGACAUAGAACUAGCUCCAAUUCAUCAAUAUAAUGUAGGCAUGUAUUCCGAAUAUAGUCAUAUAUGCUUAUGGAGAAGAACUUGCAUGACAUCUUUUGUCCCACCCUCCCGUGGUAGCGGGGUCCUAUUGGAAACUAAGGGAUAUUAAGGCCUCCUUUUAAUAGAGAACCAGAACAAAGCAUUAGCACAUAUUAAUACAUGAACUCCUCAAACUAUAGUCAUCACCGGGAGUGGUCCCGAUUAUUGUCACUUCGGGGUUGCCGGAUCAUAACACAUAGUAGGUGACUAUAGAAUUGCAAGAUAGGAUCAAGAACUCACAUAUAUUCAUGAAAACAUAAUAGUUUUAGAUCUAAAAUCAUGGCACUCAGGCCCUAGUGGCAAGCAUUAAGCAUAGCAAAGUCAUAGCAACAUCAAUCUCAGAACAUAGUGGAUACUAGGGAUCAAACCCUAACAAAGCUAACUCGAUUACAUGAUAAAUCUCAUCCAACCCAUCACCGUCCAGCAAGCCUAUGAUGGAAUUUCUCACACACGGCGGUGAGCAUCAUGAAAUUGGUGAUGGAGGAUGGUUGAUGAUGACGACAGCGACGAAUCCCCUCUCCGGAGCCCCGAACGGAAUCCAGAUCAGCCCUCACGAGAGAGAUUAGGGCUUGGCGGUGGCUCCUUAUCGUAAAACGCGAUGAUUUCUUCUCUCUGAUUUUUUUCUCCUCGAAAGGCAAUAUAUGGAGUUGGAGUUGGCGUCGGAGGGUCUCUAGGGGGCCCACGAGGUAGGGGGGCGCCUCCCACCCUCAUGGACAUGGUGUGGGCCCCCUGGUCUUCAUCUUUGGCGAGGAUUUUUUAUUAUUUAUUCUAAAAUAUUCUGUGGAGUUUCAGGUCAUUCCGAGAACUUUUGUUUUCUGCACAUAAAACAACAUCAUGGCAAUUCUGCUAAAAACAGCGUCAGUCCGGGUUAGUUCCAUUCAAAUCAUACAAUUUAGAGUCCAAAACAAGGGCAAAAGUGUUUGGAAAAGUAGAUACGACAGAGACGUAUCAACUCCCCCAAGCUUAAACCCUUGCUUGUCCUCAAGCAAUUCAGUUGACAAACUGAAAGAGAAAAAGAAAAACUUUUACAAACUCUGUUUGCUCUUGUUGUUGUAACUAUGUCAAGCCAGCAUUCAAGUUUUCAGCAAAGAUCAUAACUAACCACAUUUGCAAUAACUCCUAGGUCUCAUGUUUACUCAUAUCAAUAACAUAAUCGGCUAGCAAGCCAUAGUAAUAAAUCUCGGAUGACAACACUUUCUCGAAACAAUCAUAAUAUGAUAUAACAAGAUGGUAUCUCACUAGCCCUUUCUGAGACCGCAAAACAUAAAUGCAGAGCACCUUCAAAGAUCAAGGACUGACUAGACAUUGUAAUUCAUGGUAAAAGAGAUCGAAUCAUAGUCAUACCCGAUAUAAAUUAACAGUAAUGAAUGCAAAUGACAGUUAUGCUCUCGAGCUAGUGCUUUUAAUAAGAGGGUGAUGACUCAACAUAAAAGUAAAUAGAUAGGCCCUUCGCAGAGGGAAGCAGGGAUUUGUAGAGGUGCCAGAGCUCGGUUUUGAAAUAGAGAUAAAUUAUAUUUUGAGUGGCAUACUUUCAUUGUCAACAUAGCAACUAAGAGAUGACGAUAUCUUCCAUGCUAAACAAACUAUAGGCGGUUCCCAAACAGAAUGGUAAAGUUUAUACUCCCCCUCCUCCACAAGCAUCAAUCCAUGGCUUGCUCGAAACAACGAGUGCCUCCAACAUUCAACGGGUACCGGGGGAGUUUUGUUUGCAAUUAUUUUGAUUUAGUUUGCAUAAAGCAUGGGACUGGGCAUCCCGGUGACCAGCCAUUUUCUCGUGAAUGAGGAGCGGAGUCCACUCCUCUUGAGAAUAACCCGCCUAACACGAAAGAUAAGGGCAGCCCUAGUUGAUAUAUGAGCUAUUCGAGCAUGCAAAACAGAAUGUUUAUUUGAAGGUUUAGAGUUUGGCACAUACAAAAAUUUACUUGGAACGACAGGUAGAUACCGCAUAUAGGAAGGUAUAGUGGACUCAUAUGGAAUAACUUUGGGUUUUAAGGGAUUGGAUGUGCAAGCAGUAUUCCCGCUUAGUACAAGUGAAGGCUAGCAAAAGACUGGGAAGCGACCAACUAGAGAGCAACAACAGUCAUGAACAUGCAUUAAAAUUAAUAAACAUUGAAUACAAGCAUGAGUAGGAUAUAAUCCACCAUGAACAUAAAUAUCGUGAAGGCUAUGUUGAUUUGUUUCAACUACACGCGUGAACAUGUGCCAAGUCAAGUCACUUAAAUCAUUCAAAGGAGGAUACCACCCCAUCAUACCACAUCACAACCAUUUUAAUAGCAUGUUGGCACGCAAGGUAAACCAUUAUAACUCAUAGCUAAUCAAGCAUGGCAUGAGCAACUAUGAUCUCUAAUUGUCAUUGCAAACAUGUUUAUUCAUAAUAAGCUGAAUCAAGAACGAUGAACUCAUCAUAUUUACAAAAACAAGAGAGGUCAAGUUCAUACCAGCUUUUUCCAUCUCAGUCAGUCCAUCAUAUAUCAUCAUAAUUGCCUCACGACCGAACGAUGUGAAUAAUAAUAAGAGUGCACGUGCAUUGGACUAAGCUGGAAUCUGUGAGCAUUCAAUAAACAGGAGAAGACAAGGCAAUAUGGGCUCUUGGUUAAAUCAACAGUGAUGCAUAUAAGAGCCACUUCAACAAUUUAAUUGUGGUCUUCUCCUACUGACCCCCAAAGAAAAGAAAAGAAAUAAAAACUAUUUACACGGGAAAGCUCCCAACAAGCAAAAGAAGAACGGGAAAUAUUUUUGGGGUUUUCUUUUUAAUUACUACAGCAAAGAAAUAAACUACUACUAAUUUUUUUGUUUUUCUUAAGGUUUAUUAAACACACAAGAAGAAAGCAGGAAAAAGAAAAUAAACUAGCAUGGAUAUUCCAGUGAAAGAGUAUGAGCACCGACAUCUAGCAAUUGGUGUAUGUGAACAUGAAUGUAAUGUCGGUGGGAAAUAUGUACUCCCCCAAGCUUAGGCUUUUGGCCUAAGUUGGUCUAUUGCCAGGGAUAGCCUGGCGGAUACCCGUAGGUGUAGCUGGGGUCAUACUGCGAUGAAGAAGACUCUGACUGCCACUGGCUGGCAACCACAUCUGGAUCCCAAGAAUAAACAAACUGUCGUGGAGGCUCAUCUUGUGGCUCUGGUUCCGGGGCUGGUGCAGGAUUCCGAUAGGCUUGAACGGCCGCCCACGAAACGAUGUGAGGACCUGCAGACAAGUUAAACAAAGAGGGAGAACACAAAGUAAUAGUCUCAGGGUGAUGUUUAUCAAAGUACAAUUUAUAUUUGAGCUCCCCUUCACGACUCUUAACAAGAAAGUCAUGCGCUAGCAUACUCUUAUAAUCUAAAUAAGCAUGGGGCAACGAUGUUUCCUCUUUCUCCCCAUGCCUAAUAGGUAUUUCAAAAUAUUCAGCUAGGCGUGAAGCAUAAAUGCCUCCAAAGAUGGGGCCCUUAGUACGGUUCAGACUUAACCGUCUAGCAACAAUUCCACCCAUACUAACAGAGUUAUUGCGGUAUAAACCAUGGAACAAAAUGAUAAUAUCAGGAACACUAAGGUUUCCACAGUUCCCGCGACCAAUCAAGCAACGACUAGCAAAUAAGGCAAAGUAGCGUAAAACAAGAAAAUGUAUGCUAGUAAUCCUUGCAUCAGAAGCCUUCCUGGUUUCUCCCACAGUGAUAGUGUUAAUAAAAGCUUCUACUUCGUUAUGGUGUGGUUCAUCCAAGGUGCCCUCAAAGGGUAUUUUGCAAACCUCGCAAAAUUCAGCUAAUGGCAUCUCCUUAACAACAUCAUAUAGAGGUGAUUUCUUAGGGAAAAAGUAGAAGUUUUGCACAAAAGUAUUUGUGAGUAAGAGAUACUGAUGACGUUGGUCGCGGAGGAAGUCGGUGAGGCCAGCAUUCUCAAUCAACAAAUAGAUAUCCUCAUAAAUCCCGGCUCUCCUCAAGAAGUCAUCGGAAGGCCAUUCACACGGCCGGACCUCCGCGGUGCGAGGCAAAUUAAAUUUGGGCUUCUGCUCUUCUUCCUUUUGUUUUUCCUUCGAGCUUCGGCUCGACGAGCCCCUCAAAAGUCUCUUCAUUAUUUCUGAAACAAUCAGAAAUUUUUAGUAACUUCAAAUAAAAGUGAACCAACUUCAAUAAAAUUGAUAGCAACUACUCCCACAAGUGCCUAGAGCCUACAUCAAGCAUUAGAACUACUUGGAACCAUAUAAAUUUGACAUGCAAGCUCAAGAACAUGGUCACCUAUGCAGCAUAAAUUUGCAAUGAAUAAAGCACUAGAACAAAAACUAAUUGGACCAAUGGAGGAGUCACAUACCAAGGAACAAUCUCCCCAAGCAGUUCUGCGAAAGGUGCUUUGAGCAAGGAGAUCGAAAAUCACAGCAACAGGGGCUGGAACUUGUGCUUGAGUUGGUUUUUCAUGUUUGUGUGAGGCAGAGGAAGAAGAUGGGUGCAGGGAUAAGUGGAGGAGGGCCACCACGGGCCCACGAGGCAGGGGGCGCGCCCAGGGGGGUAGGGCGCGCCCUCCACCCUCGUGGCCAGGUGGCAGCUCCCCCCGUAGUAAUUUUUGCACAGUAAAUCCUCAAAUAUUCCCAAAAAAAUCAUAUUAAAUUGGUAUGGCAUUCUGAGGACUUUUAUUUUUGGGAUAUUUUUAUAUUGCACAGAUAAAUCAGGAAACAGACAGAAAAAAUACUAUUUUACUUUAUUUCUACUAAAUAACAGAAAAUAUAAAGAGGGUAUAGAAGGUUGUGCUUCUAGUUUCAUCCAUCUCAUGCUCAUAAAAAAGAAUCCACUAACAAGGUUGAUCAAGUCUUGUUAACAAACUCAUUUCGAUUAAUAUGGAACCGGAGAAAUUUCGAAUAACACUAUGUUACCUCAACGGGGAUAUGGACAUCCCCAAUAAUAAGUAUAUCAUAUUUCUUCUUGACAGUAGGGAGAGGAAAUUCAAAACCUCCAAAUAUAAUCGAUGGGAUUUUUCCAAUAGAAUUGAUACUAUAAACUUGAGGUUGUUUCCUCGGAAAGUGUACCUUAUGCUUGUUACCAUUAACAUGAAAAGUGACAUUGCCUUUGUUGCAAUCAAUAACAGCCCUUGCAGUAUUAAGAAAAGGUCUUCCAAGAAUAAUAGACAUACUAUCAUCCUCGGGAAUAUCAAGAAUAACAAGGUCCGUUAAAAUAGUAACGUUUGCAACCACGACAGGCACAUCCUCACAACUACCUACGGGUAUAGCAGUUGAUUUAUCAGCCAUUUGCAAAGAUAUUUCAGUAGGUGUUAACUUAUUCAAGUCAAGUCUACGAUAUAAAGAGAGAGGCAUAACACUAACACCGGCUCCAAGAUCACAUAAAGCAGUUUUAACAUAAUUUCUCUUAAUGGAGCAUGGUAUAGUAGGUACUCCUGGAUCUCCAAGUUUCUUUGGUAUUCCACCCUUAAAAGUAUAAUUAGCAAGCAUGGUGGAAAUUUCAGCUUCCGGUAUCUUUCUUUUAUUAGUAAUGAUAUCCUUCAUAUACUUAGCAUAAGGAUUUGUUUUGAGCACAUCAGUUAAUCGCAUACGGAAAAAGAUAGGUCUAAUCAUUUCAGCAAAGCGCUCAAAAUCCUCAUCAUCCUUUUUCUUGGAUGGUUUCGGAGGAAAAGGCAUGGGUUUCUGAACCCAUGGUUCCCUUUCUUUACCAUCUUUCCUAGCAACAAAAUCUCUUUUAUCAUAACGUUGAUUCUUCGAUUGUGGGUUAUCAAGAUCAACUGCAGGUUCAACUUCUACAUCAUUAGCAUUACUAGGUUGAGCAUCAUCAUGAACAUCAUCAUUAACAUUUUCACUAGGUUCAUGUUCAUUACCAGAUUGUGUUUUAGCAUCAGACAUAGAGAUAUCAUUUGGAUUCUCAGGUGGUCCAGCAAUAGGUUCACUAGAAGUUUGCAAGGUCGUAUCAUUUUUAUUUUUCUUCCUUUUAGAAGAACUAGGUACAUCAAUAUUAUUUCUCUGAGAAUCUUGCUCGAUUCUCUUAGGGUGGCCUUCAGGAUACAAAGGUUCCUGAGUCAUUCUACCAGUUCUAGUAGCCACUCUAACAGCAUAAUCAUUUUUCUUACUAUUCAUUUCAUCAAGCACUUCUUUUUGAGCUUUAAGUGCUUGUUCUACUUGAGUGGUAACCAUAGAAGCAUGUUUGCUAACAAGUUUAAGUUCACCUCUAAUAUUAGCCAUAUAAUCACCAAAGCAUUUAAUCAUAUAAGCAUCUUGUUUUAGUUGUCUACCAAAAUAAGCAUUAAAGUCAUCUUGCUUAAACAUAAAGUUAUCAAACUCAUCCAAGCACUGACUAGCAAUUUUAGUAGGAGGGACUUCAGCUUUAUCAUAUCUAUAGAGAGAAUUUACCUUUACUACCUGUGUCGGGAUAUAGGGAUCAGUAGGUUCUUCAGUGAAUAAAGAAUUGAGAUCAUAUACUUCUUCAACAGGCGGUAAAUUAAGACCGUGUAUUUCUUCAAUAGGAGGUAAGUUCUUAACAUCUUCAGCUUUAAUACCUUUUUCUUUCAUAGAUUUCUUUGCCUCUUGCAUAUCUUCAGGACUGGGGAAUAGAACACCUCUCUUCUUUGGAGUUGGUUUAGGAAUAGGCUCAUUAAUUGGCUCUGGAGCUGGCUCAGGAGGUGCCCAAUUAUUUUCAUUUGUCAACAUAUUAAUCAAUAGAAUUUCAGCUUCAUCCGGUGUUCUUUCCCUGAAAAGAGAACCAGCACAACUAUCCAGGUAAUCUCUGGAAGCAUCAGUUAGUCCAUUAUAAAAGAUAUCAAGUAUUUCAGGUUUCUUAAGAGGAUGAUCGGGCAAAGCAUUAAGUAACUUGAGAAGCCUCCCCCAAGCUUGUGGGAGACUCUCUUCUUUAAUUUGCACGAAGUUGUAUAUUUCCCUCAAAGCAGCUUGUUUCUUAUGAGCAGGGAAAUAUUUAGCAAAGAAGUAAUAAAUCAUAUCCUGGGGACUACGCACACAACCAGGAUCAAGAGAAUUAAACCAUAUCUUAGCAUCACCCUUUAAUGAGAACGGAAAUAUUUUGAGUAUAUAAAAGUAGCGCGAUCUCUCAUCAUUAGUAAACAGGGCGGCUAUAUCAUUUAACUUAGUAAGAUGUGCCACAACAGUUUCGGAUUCAUAACCAUAAAAAGGAUUAGACUCAACCAAAGUAAUUAUAUCUGGAUCAACAGAAAAUUCAUAAUAAUCCUUAUCGAGAACACAGAUAGGCGAAGUAGCAAAAGCAGGGUCGGGUUUCAUUCUAUCUCUAAGAGAUUCUUUGUUCCAUUUAACUAGCAGCCUCUUGAGUUCAUAUCUAUCUUUACAAGCAAAAUAAGUUGCAGAAGAUUCUGCAUCAAAAAGAUAACCCUCGGGAAUAGCAGGCAUAUCUUCAUCAUCACUUUCAUCAAUAUUAUCAGUUUCAAUAAUUUCUCUUUCUCUAGACCUAGAAAUUUGCUCAUCUAGAAAUUCACCAAGGGGCACAAUAGUAUCAAGCAUAGAAGUAGUUUCAUCAUAAGUAUCAUGCAUAGCAGAAGUGGCAUCAUCAAUAACAUGCGACAUAUCGAAACUAAUAGCAGAAGCAGGUUUAGGUGUCACUAGCUUACUCAUAACAGAAGGUGAAUCAAGUGCAGAGCUAGAUGGCAGUUCCUUACCUCCCCUCGUAGUUGAGGGAUAAAUUGUUGGCUUAGCGUCUUUCAAGUUCUUCAUAGUGUCCAGCAGAUAUAAAUCCCAAGUGACUCAAAGAAUAGAUCUAUGCUCCUCGGCAACGGCGCCAGAAAAAGGUCUUGAUAACCCACAAGUAUAGGGGAUCACAACAGUUUUCGAGGGUAGAGUAUUCAACCCAAAUUUAUUGAUUCGACACAAGGGGAGCCAAAGAAUAUUCUCAAGUAUUAGAAGCUGAGUUGUCAAUUCAACCACACCUGGAAACUUAGUAUCUGCAGCAAAGUGUUUAGUAGCAAAAUAAUAUGAUAGUGGUCGUAAUGGUAACAAAAGUAAAGACAACAAAAGUAAUGUUUUUGGUAUUUUUGUAACGAUUGUAACAGUAGCAACGGAAUAGUAAAUAAGCGAGAACCAGUAUAUGGAAAACUCGUAGGCACCGGAUUAGUGAUGGAUAAUUAUGCCGGAUGCGGUUUGUCAUGUAACAGUCAUAACAUAGGGUGACACGGAACUAGCUCCAAUUCAUCAAUGUAAUGUAGGCAUGUAUUCCGAAUAUAGUCAUACGUGCUUAUGGAAAAGAACUUGCAUGACAUCUUUUGUCCUACCCUCCCGUGGCAGCGGGGUCCUAUUGGAAACUAAGGGAUAUUAAGGCCUCCUUUUAAUAGAGAACCGGAACAAAGCAUUAGAACAUAGUGAAUACAUGAACUCCUCAAACUAUGGUCAUCACCGGGAGUGGUCCCGAUUAUUGUCACUUCGGGGUUGUCAGAUCAUAACACAUAGUAGGUGACUAUAGACUUGCAAGAUAGGAUCAAGAACUCACAAAUAUUCAUGAAAACAUAAUAGGUUCAGAUCUGAAAUCAUGGCACUCGGGCCCUAGUGACAAGCAUUAAGCAUAGCAAAGUCAUAGCAACAUCAAUCUCAGAACAUAGUGGAUACUAGGGAUCAAACCCUAACAAAGCUAACUCGAUUACAUGAUAAAUCUCAUCCAACCCACCACCGUCCAGCAAGCCUACGAUGGAAUUACUCACACACGGCGGUGAGCAUCAUGAAAUUGGUGAUGGAGGAUGGUUGAUGAUGACGACGGCGAUGAAUCCCCCUCUCCGGAGCCCCAAACAGACUCCAGAUCAGCCCUCACGAGAGAGAUUAGGGCUUGGCGGCGGCUCCGUAUCGUAAAACGCGAUGAUUUCUUCUCUUUGAUUUUUUUCUCAUCGAAAGCCAAUAUAUGGAGUUGGAGUUGGCGUCGGAGGGUCUCCAGGGGCGCCACGAGGUAGGGAGGCGCGCCUAGGGGGGCGUGCCCCCCACCCUUGUGGACAGGGUGUGGGCCCCCUGGUAUUCAUCUUUAGCGAGGAUUUUUUAUUAUUUAUUCUAAGAUAUUCCGUGGAGUUUCAGGUCAUUCCGAGAACUUUUGUUUUCUGCACAUAAAACAACAUCAUGGCAAUUCUGCUGAAAACAGCGUCAGUCCGGGUUAGUUCCAUUCAAAUCAUACAAGUUAGAGUCCAAAACAAGGGCAAAAGUGUUUGGAAAAGUAGAUAUGACGGAGACGUAUCAGGAGGGAAUGCGAAUAAGAUUUGAUAUUUGUCCCGAAGAUUAUGAUGAUGAUGAUAAUAUUGACAUCUGGGUGGAUGUGGAUAUGCCUCCAGUUUUAUCUAGAUGUGAGUUUGUCAAACUAAUUUGUUAGUUCAGUAAUUUAUGUUGUUAAUUUAAAAAUAUUUGGUGUUCGUCCGUACUAAACUUAUUUAUUUAUAAUUGUCAGCUUAUUUCUUAUCUUCAAGAAAUACUCGGAAGGUAGUAGACAGCACAUACUACAGCUAUGACUCCAAGCUUAAUUGUGAGGAGAAAGGUUAUCUUAUCUCAUUCAUAGAAGAUGUUGAGGCCUUCAAAACCAGUCACUCUAUCAGCCCAAAUUAUACUAGAUACGUGCCACUAGUCCAUAAAUUGCUUGAUGGUAACUUCAUUGCCAAAAACUUGGUAAGAUUUUGUUAAUGAUGGUAACUUCAUUGCAUACAUUAUUCUUAAGUAAACUACAUUGCUAACUAUAUAUGUUACUAUUUCGUUUUUGAACAGAGGCUCCCGAAGCAGGUUGUGCCUGACAUGCUAUGUACCGAAGGUGAUAUGCAUAUGGUUAGCUUACGACCAACUCCUUCGGAGGCUUACCAUACUGCAUAUUCGAUUUCUUCAAAUGAUGUAAGGCUCAAAAUCAAAGAAUGGAGCAAAGUGAUGAAUGCGCACGCACAAAUAAUUGGAGACAAAAUGAAUGUGCGCAAGCCACAAGUUGGGGAUAGAUUUAUGUCCAUUCUCCAUUAUGGUGAAGGACCGGUUUAUCUGUUUUGUGGUAUUUUAGCUAGGAGAGAGGAGUAGGUCCUAAGUAUUAAGAACAAUUAGUUAGUGUUGAUUAUAUAUGACUACAAUGACUUAGACUUGAUGGUGAUGCUGAGUAGGAGUAGUGAUUAUGAGUACUAUGAUGAUGAUGAUGAGGAGGAGUUGUUAUUAUAACUAGUGACGAAGUUGUUAUAUGAUGUCUCAUCAUGGACGAAAAUGAUGAUUAUGAGGAGUUAUAUGACAAUGAUAUAUUAUGAUGAUAAGUUGUUAAUGAUAUUAUGAUGAUGACGAUAAGUUAUUAUGUCAUUGGGUCAAAGAACCGCGGAUUAGUUUCAAAUGGAUGGAUCCAAAGUGACCAUUGGUUACUUUGGAUCCAUGCACUUGAAACUAAUCCAAGGUUCUUUCACCUAGUGAUUUAAUAACUCAUUAUGAUGUUAAAACAAUCUCUAAAUUGCUACUGUAUGAAAAAUUGUAUACGGGUGUAUGAAUAAGACGUAAAAUUGAAAAGAAAUGGAAUACGAAAUAAUAGUAGUAGCGGUUGUUCUCGAAAGCGCUACUAGUAAUUAGCAGUAGCGAUUGCCAUGGAAAGCGCUACUACUAAGAAGAUAUAUCAGUAGCGCAUGCCAGUCAGCGCUACUGCUAAGCUUUAGCUGUAGCGCCUUAUUAGUAGCGCGCUUACCCACGCUACUGAUAGGCCAAAAACCAGCGCUACUGCUAGGCUUUUCUCUAGUAGUGGAUAUUCUUAGGGCCCUCUCGGUGUGACGGCAUCCAUCAUCAUCUGCCAGACACAGGUGACUAGGUCACAGGGAUGCCGACAUGUCAACGAGAAAGAAGAACAAAACUGUAACGAGGAGACCGGUAUAGUGAGCAUGAGAAUGGUUCAAGAGGAUACCGAUAUAUCUCACCUCGGGUAUUGUAAAGUAUCACGAAGUAAAGGGAAUGCACAUGAUAACCAUAGAUUCACUCGAAUAUCAUUCAUGUAUAUAUAGGGAUCAAUAUGGACAUCCAUGGUUCCUAUAUUGGUCAUUGAAUGAAAGGGGUUUUGUUGAUGUCUAUGUUUUACCGAACCUACAUGGCACAAGCUUAAGGGAAUCAUGAUCUGUUGAGUGUUAUUGAUGUAAGAGUUCUAAGAAAAUAUUUAUGAAAAAGUUUCAUUAUAUUAAAAAUAGUUUCAAGAGAAAUCGGAAGCGUUUCGGAGUCAUGGAAGAGUUUCAGGGUUUAUCAAGAAUUUAUAUAUAGGUGGAAAAUGUUUUUGGAGAUGUUUACUUAAUAAUAAAAGGCUCUAAUAUUGAUUAGGAGGCCAUUAUAAUUAAUUAAAUAUCAACUAGUCAAGGAAAAUACAAAAAGGCAAGUGGUGGGAAGUUAUUGGGCCCUAGGGCCCAAUAACAAUAUGAGGCGCCCCCUGGCUUGUUGGACAAGCUAGAGAGGGCCGAAUUGGAGGGACCUCCUAUUCAGUAGCUUAAGCGCCUGAACAGGUUGCUGGCGCCCGCUGCAGCGCCUUGUUGGGCCGGCCCGCGAAGGGAAAGCGCAGCUAACAAAAAUCACCAGAAAAACGCAAAAAAUGUGGCUGCUUUAGGAAUCGAACUCGCAUCGCCCAUGAAGGCAAGGCUUGUUCGAGCUUAGCUGACCACCACAACCAUUGGACACUUGUGAUUUUAAUAGCGCUAAUAGUACAUGAGCCAGUAUGGUCGUGCUAUUUAUUUAUUAUUUAGAUUUAUUAUUUCUUUUUCAAAAAUCAUGAAUUUAAAAACGUUCAUCAAUUUUGAGUCAAAAGUUCACGAACUUAAAAAAAAGUUCAUCAAUUUUGAGAUAUAGUUCAUCAUUUCUGAAGAAAAGUUCACAAACUUUAAAAAGUUCACCAAUUUUGGAAAAAGUUUACGAAAAACUUUAAAGGUUCAUCAUUUUCAAAAAAAAGUUCAUCAGUUUUGGCAAAAAGUUCAUCAACUUUAACAAAAAAGUUCAUCGAGUUUAAAAAACUGUUCAUCAAUUUUGAAAAAAGUUCACAAAUUUGAAGGAAAAAUUCAUCAAUCUUGAAAAAAGUUCAUCGAAUUUAAAAAAAAUCAUCAGAUUUGGAAAAAGUUCAUCCAAUUUUAAAAACAUAUUUUAUCAAGUUUUUAAAAAGUUCAUUGAAUUAGAAAAAAUCAUCGAAUUUGAAAAAAGUUCAUCAAUGUUUUUUAAAUGUGGAUGGAUUUGAAAAAAUCAUUGAAUGAGGAAGAAGGAAAAAUUAAAAAUAAAACGAAAAAUGAAAAAUGAAAAACAAAAACAAAAAUAAGAAAGAGAACAUGAAAACGUAAAAAAGUGACGAAACUUAGCGAUCAAGUUCCCGUGGCGGAGUGGUUACCACAGUGCGCUAUGAACCAGGAUUCCUAGCUCUUGUGGAUUUGUUUGAGCUUUGAAUACGCGAACGAAAAAUAUGUUGGGUUCGACGGGAGGUGAGCUAAACGGGCCGAGCCUAGCUAGCGCGGCUGCACGCGUCGAUUUGCAGAAAUAGUAAUAACCGAUGCCUGCAACGCCAAAUAGGGUUCGCCCGAAUUGGAUUGGGGGAGGACUCCUCCUCCCCCUAGGGCCGGUGCAAGGGGAGGAGGACUCUUCCCCCCUUGUGGCACCCAUCCUCUCCCUCCAACCUACAUAUACUUGAGGAUUUGACCUUGGAGAGAGACAAGUUUUGGAGCCUCGUCUAAUUCUCUAGUUCUAGUUUUAAAUUGGAGUUGGUCUAAUUAGAGCUGGACCUAGAUCUCUUUAAUCCUCAUUGAAAGAACAUGCGGUGCCCCCAUGUUUGGUUUUGGUAAUUGAUGACAAUCUCUAUGGACUAAUGGUUUCCUUGAGCUAUAUUUGAAGGAUUUGUCCAUAAGCUUUUCUUGAAGUCCAUUUUUUGGUUUCAAGGAGAGUAUGUGAUGACCAAGGUGCUAUUCAAGGAAUUAUCUAAAGAUUGGUCAUGUGAUAGGUUGAUCAAGACUAAGUCAAAGAGUGAAUCAAGUUGAUUAACACACAAAGCAUAUAAGAUGUUGUUGGGGAACGUAGUAAUUUCAAAAAAAUUCAUACGCACACGCAAGAUCAUGGUGAUGUAUAGCAACGAGAGGGGGAGUGUAUCUUCAUACCCUUGAAGAUCGCUAAGCGUAAGCGUUUAUCAACGCGGUUGAUGUAGUCGUACGUCUUCACGAUCCGACCGAUCCAAGUACCGAAUGCACGGCACCUCCGAGUUCUGCACACGUUCAGCUCGAUGACGUCCUCGCCUUCUCGAUCCAACAAGACGGGCGAAGUAAUAGAUGAGUUCCGGCAGCACGACGGCGUGGUGACGGUGUUGGUGAAGUAUAAUCUCCGCAGGGCUUCGCCUAAGCACUACGGAAACUAUGACGGAGGAUAAACUAGAGGGGACGGGGUUGCCGGCACACGGAUUGGUGUUUCUUGAUGUGUCUUUGGUGCUAGCCCUGCCCCUCUAUUUAUAUGUUGAGCCUUGGGGUCGAAACUUGGAGUAAAAGCCUCCACAAAGUCGGUUUCACCCGAAAGGCAAAAGUCCUUCUCGGACUCCAGGGCCAAACGCCAGGGUUCCCAGCGUCUGGACCCAGACGCCAGGGACCCUGGCGUCUGGCCCCUGGACUCCGCAAAGCUUCCUUUUUGCGCUUUCCAAAAACCUUGCGGGCUUUCCCCUUUUUGCGCUUUCCAAAACCCUUGUGGGCUUUCCCCUUGUGGGCUUUCCCCUUUGGCCCAAAUAACGUGUUCUCGUACCCAAACAUUUCGGGAAACAUCCGGAACCCCUUCCGGUGAAUUCUGGAACCCUUCCGGAGAUCAAACAAUAUUAUCCCAUAUAUCAAACUUUAUCUCCGGACCAUUCUGGAGUUCCUCGUCAUGUCCAUGAUCUCAUCCGGGACUCCGAACAACAUUCGGUUACCAACAUGCAUAACUCAUAUAAUACUAUAUCGUCAACGAAACGUUAAGCGUGCGGACCCUACGGGUUCGAGAACUAUGUAGACAUGACCGAGACACGUUUCCGGUCAAUAACCAAUAGCGGGACCUGGAUGCCCAUAUUGGCUCCCACAUAUUCUACGAAGAUCUUUAUCGGUCAAACCGCAUAACAACAUACGUUGUUCCCUUUGUCAUCGCUAUGUUACUUACCCGAGAUCUGAUCGUCGGUAUCCAAUACCUAGUUCAAUCUUGUUAUCGGCAAGUCUCUUUACUCGUUACGUAAUGCAUCAUUCCGUAACUAACUCAUUAGCUACAUUGCUUGCAAGGCUUAUAGUGAUGUGCAUUACCGAGAGGGCCCAGAGAUACCUCUCCGACAAUCGGAGUGACAAAACCUAAUCUCGAAAUACGCUAACUCAACAUGUACCUUCGGAGACACCUGUAGUACUCCUUUAUAAUCACCCAGUUACGUUGUGACGUUUGGUAGCACCCAAAGUGUUCCUCCGGUAAACAGGAGUUGCAUAAUCUCAUAGUUACAGGAACAUUUAUAAGUCAUGAAGAAAGCAAUAGCAAUAUACUAAACGAUCAAGUGCUAAGCUAACGGAAUGGGUCAAGUCAAUCACAUCAUUCUCCUAAUGAUGUGAUCCCGUUAAUCAAAUGACAACUCAUGUCUAUGGCUAGGAAACUUAACCAUCUUUGAUUCAACGAGCUAGUCAAGUAGAGGCAUACUAGUGACACUAUGUUUGUCUAUGUAUUCACACAUGUAUUAUGUUUCCAGUUAAUACAAUUCUAGCAUGAAUAAUAAACAUUUAUCAUGAUAUAAGGAAAUAAAUAAUAACUUUAUUAUUGCCUCUAGGGCAUAUUUCCUUCAGUCUCCCACUUGCACUAGAGUCAAUAAUCUAGUUCACAUCGCCAUGUGAUUUAACACCAAUAUUCAUAUUUGUAUAUGAUUAACACCCAUAGUUCACAUCGUCAUGUGACCAACACCCAAAGGGUUUACUAGAGUCAAUAAUCUAGUUCACAUCGCUUAUGUGAUUAACACCCAAAGAGUACUAAGGUGUGAUCAUGUUUUGCUCGUGAGAGAAGCUUAGUCAACGGGUCUGUCACAUUCAGAGCCGUAUGUAUUUUGCAAAUAUUCUAUGUCUACAAUGCUCUGCACGGAGCUACUCUAGCUGAUUGCUCCCACUUUCAAUAUGUAUCCAGAUUAAGACUUAGAGUCAUCUGGAUCAGUGCCAAAACUUGUAUCGACGUAACCCUUUACGAUGAACCUUUUUGUCACCUCCAUAAUCGAGAAACAUAUCCUUAUUCCACUAAGGAUAAUUUUGACCAAUGUCUAGUGAUCUACUCCUAGAUCACUAUUGUACUCCCUUGCCAAAACAAGGCAGAGUAUACAAUAGGCCUGGUCCAUAGCAUAGCAUACUUUUAUAGAACCUAUGACUGAUGCAUAGGGAGUGACUUUCAUUCUCUUUCUAUUUUCUGAUGUGGUCGGGAUUUGAGUCUUACUCAAUUUCAUACCUUUGCAACACAGGCAAGAACUCUUUCUUUGACUGCUCCAUUUUGAACUACUUCAAAAUCUUGUCAACGUAUGUACUCAUUGAAAAUCUUAUCAAGCAUCUUGAUGUAUCUCAAUAGAUCUUGAUGCUCAAUAUGUAAGUAGCUUUGCCGAGGUCUUUCUUUGAAAAAACUCCUUUUAAACACUCCUUUAUGCUUUGCAGAAUAAUUCUACAUUAUUUCUGAUCAACAAUAUGUCAUUCACAUAUACUUAUCAGAAAAUGUUGUAGUGCUCCCACUCACUUUCUUGUAAAUACAGGCUUCACCGCAAGUCUGUAUAAAAUUAUAUGCUUUGAUCAACUUAUCAAAGCGUAUAUUCCAACUCUGAGAUGCUUGCACCAGUCCAUAGAUGGAUCGUUGGAGCUUGCACAUUUUGUUAGCACCUUUAGAAUUGACAAAACCUUCUGGUUGUAUCAUAUACAACUCUUCUUUAAUAAAUCCAUUAAGGAAUGUAGUUUUGACAUUCAUUUGCCAAAUUUCAUAAAAUGUGGCAAUUGCUAACAUGAUUCGGACAGACUUUUAAGCAUCGAUACGAGUGAGAAAAUCUUAUUGUAUUCAACACCUUGAACUUUGUCAAAAACCUUUUUCGACAAGUCUAGCUUUGUAGAUAGUAACACUACUCUCAGGGUCUGUCUUCCUCUUGAAGAUCCAUUUAUUUUCUAUGGCUUGUCGAUCAUCGGGCAAGUCCACCAAAGUCCACACUUUGUUCUCAUACAUGGAUCCCAUCUCAGAUUUCAUGGCCUCAAACCAUUUUGCGGAAUCUGGGCUCAUCAUCGCUUCCUCAUAGUUCGUAGGUUUAUCAUGGUCUAGUAACAUGACUUUCAGAACAGGAUUACCGUACCACUCUGGUGCGGACCGUACUCUGGAAGACCUACGAGGUUCUGUAGUAACUUGAACUGAAGUUUCAUGAUCAUCAUCAUUAGCUUCCUCACUAAUUGGUGUAGUAAUCACUGGAACUGAUUUCAGUGAUGAACUAUUUUCCAAUUCGGGAGAAGGUACAGUUACCUCAUCAAGUUCUACUUUCCUCCCACUCACUUCUUUCGAGAGAAACUCCUUCUCUAUAAAGGAUCCAUUUUUAGCAAUGAAUAUCUUGCCUUCGGAUCUGUGAUAGAAGGUGUACCCAACAGUUUCCUUUGGGUAUUCUAUGAAGACACACUUCUCCGAUUUGGGUUUGAGCUUAUCAGGAUGAAACUUUUUCACAUAAGCAUCGUAGCCCCAAACUUUAAGAAACGACAACUUGGGUUUCUUGCUAAACCACAGUUCAUAUAGUGUCGUCUCAACGGAUUUAGAUGGUGCCCUUUUAACGUGAAUGCAGUUGUCUCUAAUGCAUAACCCCAAAACGGUAAUGGUAAAUCAAUAAGAGACAUCAUAGAUUGCACCAUAUCCAAUAAAGUGCGGUUACGACAUUCGGACACACCAUAACGUUGUGGUGUUCCAGGUGGCGUGAGCUGUGAAACUAUUCACAUUGUUUUAAUUGAAGACCAAACUCGUAACUCAAAUAUUCGUCUCCGCGAUCAGAUCGCAGAAACUUUAUUUUCUUGUUACGAUGAUUUUUCCACUUCACUCUGAAAUUCUGUGAACCUUUCAAUUAUUCCAGACUUAUGUUUCAUCAAGUAGAUAUACCCAUAUCUGCUCAAAUCAUCUUGUGAAGGUCAGAAAAUAACGAUACUUGCCACAAGCAUCAACACUCACUGGAUCGCAUACAUCGGUAUGUAUUAUUUCCAAUAAGUCAGUAGCUUGUUACAUUGUUCCGGAGAACGGAGUUUUAGUCAUCUUGCCCAAAAGGCACGGUUCUCAAGCAUCAAAUGAUUCAUAACCAAGUGAUUCCGAAAAUCCAUCUUUAUGGAGUUUCUUCAUGCGCUUUACAUCGAUAUGACCCAAACGCCAGUGCCACAAAUAAGUUGCACUAUCAUUAUUAACUUUGUAUCUUUUGGCAUCAAUAUUAUGAAUAUGUGUAUCACUACGAUCGAGAUCCAACAAACUAUUUUCAUUGGGUGUAUGACCAUUUGAAGGUUUUAUUCAUGUAAACAGAACAACAAUUAUUCUCUGAUUUUAAAUGAAUAAACGUAUUGCAAUAAACAUGAUCAAAUCAUAUUCAUGCUCAACGCAAACGCCAAAUAACAUUUAUUUAGGUUUAACACUAAUAUCGAAAGUAUCGGGAGUGUGCGAUGAUGAUCAUAUCAAUCUUGGAACUACUUCCAACACUCAUCGUCACUUCCCCUUCAACUAGUCUAUGUUUAUUUUGUAAGUCCUGUUUCGAGUUACUAAUCUUAGUAACCGAACAAGUAUCAAAUACUCAGGGGAUACUAUAAACACUAGUAAGGCACACAUCAAUAACCUGUAUAUCAAAUAUACCCUUGUUCACUUUGCCAUCCUUCUUAUCCACCAAAUAUUCAGGGCAUUUCCGCUUCCAGUGACCAUUUCCUUUGAAGUGUAAGCACUCAGUUUCAGGCUUUGGUCCAGCUUUGGUCUUCCUCACGGGAGUGACAACUUGUUUUCCAUUCCACUUGAAGUUUCCCUUUCUUUCCCUUUGCCCUUUUCUUGAAACUAGUGGUUUUGUCAAUCAUCAACACUUGAUGCUCUUUCUUGAUUUCUACCUUCGUCGAUUUCAACAUUACGAAGAGCUCGGGAAUCGUUUUCGUCAUCCCUUGCAUACUAUAGUUCCUCACGAAGUUCUAGUAACUUAGUGAUGGUGACUAGAGAAUUUUGUCAAUCACUAUCUUAUCUGGAAGAUUAACUCCCACUUGAUUCAAGCGAUUGAAGUACCCAGACAAUCUGAGCACAUGCUCACUAGUUGAGCGAUUCUCCUCCAUCUUUUAGCCAUAGAACUUGUUGGAGACUUCAUAUCUCUCAACUCGGGUAUUUGCUUGAAAUAUUAACUUCCACUCCUGGAACAUUUCAUAUGGUCCAUGACGUUCAAAACGUCUUUGAAGUCCCGAUUCUAAGCCGUUUAAGCAUGGUGCACUAAACUAUCAAGUAGUCAUCAUUUUGAGCUAGCCAAACAUUCAUAACGUCUGCAUCUGCUCCUGCAAUAGGUUUGUCACCUAGCGGUGCAUCAAGGACAUAAUUCUUCUGUGCAGCAAUGAUGAUAAACCUCAGAUCACGGAUCCAAUCCGCAUCAUUGCUACUAACAUCUUUCAACACAGUUUUCUCUAGGAACAUAUCAAAAUAAACAUAUGAAAGCAACAACGCAAGCUAUUGAUCUACAACAUAAUUUGCAAAAUACUACCAGGACUAAGUUCAUGAUAAAUUUAAGUUCAACUAAUCAUAUUACUUAAGAACUCCCACUUAGACAGACAUCUCUCUAGUCAUCUAAGUGAUCACGUGAUCCAAAUCAACUAAACCAUGUCCGAUCAUCACGUGAGAUGGAGUAGUUUUCAAUGGUGAACAUCACUAUGUUGAUCAUAUCUACUAUAUGAUUCAUGCUCGACCUUUCGGUCUCCGUGUUCCGAGGACAUAUCUGUAUAUGCUAGGCUCAUCAAGUUUAACCUGAGUAUUCCGCGUGUGCAACUGUUUUGCACCCGUUGUAUUUGAACGUAGAGCCUAUCACACCCGAUCAUCACGUGGUGUCUCAGCACGAAGAACUUUGGCAACGGUGCAUACUCAGGGAGAACACUUCCUGAUAAUUAGUGAGAGAUCAUCUUAAAAUGCUACCGUCAAUCAAAGCAAGAUAAGAUGCAUAAAAGAUAAACAACACAUGCAAUCAAUAUAAGUGAUAUGAUAUGGCCAUCAUCAUCUUGUGCUUGUGAUCUCCAUCUCCGAAGCACCAUCAUGAUCACCAUCGUCACCGGCGCGACACCUUGAUCACCAUCGUAGCAUCGUUGUCGUCUCACCAACUAUUGAUUCUACGACUAUCACUACCGCUUAGUGAUAAAGUAAAGCAAUUACAGAGCGAUUGCAUUGCAUACAAUAAAGCGACAACCAUAUGGCUCCUGCCAGUUGCCGAUAACUCGUUACAAAACAUGAUCAUCUCAUACAAUAAAAUAUAGCAUCACGUCUUGACCAUAUCACAUCACAACAUGCCCUGCAAAAACAAGUUAGACGUCCUCUACUUUGUUGUUGCAAAUUCUACAUGGCUGCUACGGGCUGAGCAAGAACCGUUCUUACCUACGCAUCAAAACCACAACGAUAGUUCAUCAAGUUAGUUUUUUAACCUUCGCAAGGACCGGGCGUAGCCACACUCGAUUCAACUAAAGUUGGAGAAACAGACACCCGCUAGUCACCUGUGUGCAAAGCACGGCGGUAAAACCAGUCUCGCGUAAGCGUACGCAUAAUGUCGGUCCGGGCCGCUUCAUCCAAUAAUACCAUCGAACCAAAGUAUGACAUGCUGGUAAGCAGUAUGACUUGUAUCGCCCACAACUCACUUGUGUUCUACUCGUGCAUAUAACAUCUACGCAUAAAACCUAGGCUCAGAUGCCACUGUUGGGGAACGUAGUAAUUUCAAAAAAAUUCCUACGCGCACGCAAGAUCAUGGUGAUGUAUAGCAACGAGAGGGGGAGUGUAUCUUCAUACCCUUGAAGAUCGCUAAGCAGAAGCGUUUAUCAACGCGGUUGAUGUAGUCGUACGUCUUCACGAUCCAACCGAUCCAAGUACCAAACGCACGGCACCUCCGAGUUCUGCACACGUUCAGCUCGAUGACGUCCUCGCCUUCUCGAUCCAACAAGACGGGCGAAGUAAUAGAUGAGUUCUGGCAGCACGACGGCAUGGUGAUGGUGUUGGUGAAGUAUAAUCUCCGCAGGGCUUCGCCUAAGCACUACGGAAACUAUGACGGAGGAUAAACUAGAGGGGAUGGGGUUGCCGGCACACGGCUUGGUGUUUCUUGAUGUGUCUUUGGUGCUAGCCCUGCCCCUCUAUUUAUAUGUUGAGCCUUGGGGUCGAAACUUGGAGUAAAAGCCUCCACAAAGUCGGUUUCACCCGAAAGGCAAGAGUCCUUCUCAGACUCCAGGGCCAGACGCCAGGGACCCUGGCGUCUGGCCCCUGGACUCUGCAAAACUUCCUUUUUGCACUUUCCAAAAACCUUGUGGGCUUUCCCCUUUUUGCGCUUUUCAAAAACCUUGUGGGCUUUCCCCUUUGGCCCAAAUAACGUGUUCUCGUACCCAAACAUUUCGGGAAACAUCCGGAACCCCUUCCGGUGAAUUCCGGAACCCUUCAGGAGAUCAAACACUAUUAUCCCAUAUAUCAAACUUUAUCUCCGGACCAUUCCAGAGUUCCUCGUCAUGUCCAUGAUCUCAUCCGGUACUCCGAACAACAUUCGGUUACCAACAUGCAUAACUCAUAUAAUACUAUAUCGUCAACGAAACGUUAAGCGUGCGGACCCUACGGGUUCGAGAACUAUGUAGACAUGACCGAGACACGUUUCCGGUCAAUAACCAAUAGCGGGACCUGGAUGCCCAUAUUGGCUCCCACAUAUUCUACGAAGAUCUUUAUCGGUCAAACCACAUAACAACAUACGUUGUUCCCUUUGUCAUCGGUAUGUUACUUACCCGAGAUUUGAUCGUCGGUAUCCAAUACCUAGUUCAAUCUCGUUAUCGGCAAGUCUCUUUACUCGUUACGUAAUGCAUCAUUCCGUAACUAACUCAUUAGCUACAUUGCUUAUCGAGAGGGCCCAGAGAUACCUCUCCGACAAUCGGAGUGACAAAUCCUAAUCUCGAAAUACGCCAACCCAACAUGUACCUUCAGAGACACCUGUAGUACUCCUUUAUAAUCACCCAGUUACGUUGUGACGUUUGGUAGCACCCAAAGUGUUCCUUCGGCAAACGGGAGUUGCAUAAUCUCAUAGUUACAGGAACAUGUAUAAGUCAUGAAGAAUGCAAUAGCAAUAUACUAAACAAUCAAGUGCUAAGCUAACGGAAUGGUUCAAGUCAAUCACAUCAUUCUCCUAAUGAUAUGAUCCCGUUAAUCAAAUGACAACUCAUGUCUAUGGCUAGGAAACUUAACCAUCUUUGAUUCAAUGAGCUAGUCAAGUAGAGGCAUACUAGUGACACUAUGUUUGUCUAUGUAUUCACGCAUGUAUUAUGUUUCCGGUUAAUACAAUUCUAGCAUGAAUAAUAAACAUUUAUCAUGAUAUAAGGAAAUAAAUAAUAACUUUAUUAUUGCCUCUAGGGCAUAUUUCCUUCAGAUGUACCAAGAGGGAUCAAGUGAUCCCAUGGUAUGGUAAGUAUUGUCCAUUACGCUUUGUGCACUAACCCAUGGUCUACGUGGAGUUAUUUGAGGGGUUAGGUUGAGGUGUGCAAGUUCAAGUGGAUCAUCACGAAGAGAUUACGUCCUUGAAGCUUGCCAUCCAUUCUGGUGACAAUGGACUCGUGAAGAUGUGCCGAAGAGUGGCUCAACCAUAGUGGAGUAUGGGGGAGCAAUCAACUAGUCUUCACCGAGCCAACACAAUUAAGAAAGGUGGUCCAACUUGAGGAAGUCAAGAUCUGUUGGAAAUAUGCCCUGGAGGCAAUAAUAAAAGGAUUAUUAUUAUAUUUCUUUGUUCAUGAUAGUUGUCUUUUAUUCAUGCUAUAACUGUAUUAUCCGGAAAUCGUAAUACACGUGUGAAUACAUAGACCACAAUAUGUCCCUAGUGAGCCUCUAGUUGACUAGCUCGUUGUGAUCAACAGAUAGUCAUGGUUUCCUGGCUAUGGACAUUGGAUGUCGUUGAUAACGGGAUCACAUCAUUAGGAGAAUGAUGUGAUGGACAAGACCCAAUCCUAAGCAUAGCACAAAGGUCGGUUAGUUCGUUUGCUAGAGCUUUUCCAAUGUCGAGUAUCUCUUCCUUCGACCAUGAGAUCGUGUAACUCCCGGAUACCGUAGGAGUGCUUUGGGUGUACCAAACGUCACAACGUAACUGGGUGAUUAUAAAGGUGCAUUAUAGGUAUCUCCGAAAGUGUCUUUUGGGUUGACACGGAUCGAGACUGGGAUUUGUCACUCCGUGUUACGGAGAGGUAUCACUGGGCCCACUCGGUAGUGCAUCAUCAUAAUGAGCUCAAGGUGACCAAGUGUCUGGUCACGGGAUCAUGCAUUACGGUACGAGUAAAGUGACUUGCCGGUAACGAGACUGAACAAGGUAUUGGGAUACCGACGAUCGGGUCUCGGGCAAGUAACGUACCGAUUGACAAAGGGAAUUGCAUAGGGGGUUUGAUCGAAUCCUCGACAUCGUGGUUCAUCCGAUGACAUCAUCGAGGAGCAUGUGGGAGCCAACAUGGGUAUCCAGAUCCCGCUGUUGGUUAUUGACCGGAGAGUCUCGGUCAUGUUUGCAUGUCUCCCGAACCCGUAGGGUCUACACACUUAAGGUUCGGUGACGCUAGGGUUAUCAGGAAGACAAGUAUGUGAUUACCGAAUGUUGUUCGGAGUCCCGGAUGAGAUCCCAGACGUCAUGAGGAGUCCCGGAAUGGUCCGGAGGUAAAGUUUUAUAUAUGGGAAGUUGUUAAACGGGCAUCGGAAAGUUUCGGGGUCAUACCGGUAUUGUACCGGGACCACCGGAAAGGUUCCGGGGGUCCACCGGGAGGGACCACCCCUCCCGGGGGGCCACUUGGGCUGCGUAGGGAUAGCAGCCAGCCCCUGGUGGGCUUAGCGCCCCCCCCUUUGGGCCCAUGCGCCUAGGGUUGGGGGGGAAACCCUAAAGGGGGCGCACCCCCUUGCUUGGGGGGCAAGCCCCCCACCCUUUGGCCGCCGCCCCCCUCUAGGGUUUCCCCUAGAGGGCCGGCCCCCCUUGCCCUCUCCUCCUAUAUAUAGAGGGGUGAGGGGAGGGCUGCAACAACACAACUCAAGGCGCAGCCCCUCCCCUCCCCAACACCUCUCCUCCUCCGUACGUGCUCGGCGAAGCUCUGUCGGAAUACUGCUGCACCAACUGCACCACGCCGUCGUGCUGCCCUUGGAGCUGCCUUCCUCAACCUCUCCUUCCUCCUUGCUGGAUCAAGACGGAGGAGACGUCGACCGUCCCGUACGUGUGUUGAACGCGGAGGUGCUGUCUGUUCAGCACUUGGUCAUCGGUGAUCCGAAUCACGACGAGUACGACUCCAUCAUCACCAUCCCCUUGAACGCUUCCGCACUCGAUCUACAAGUGGUAUGUAGAUGCAAACUCUUCCCCUUGACUCGUUGCUUAGAUGAACUCAUAGAUGGAUCUUGGUGAAACCGUAGGAAAAAUUUUAAUUUUCUGCAACGUUCCCCAACAGUGGCAUCAUGAGCUAGGUCUAUGCGUAGUUCUCUUUGCACGAGUAGAACACAAUUUUGUUGUGGGUGUGGAUCUUGUCAACUUACUUGCCACUACUAGUCUUUUCUUACUUCAACGGCAUUAUGGGAUGAAGCGGCCCGGACCAACCUUACGUGUACGCUUACGUGAGACCGGUUCCACCGAUUGACAUGCACUAGUUGCAUAAGGUGGCUGGCGGGUGUCUGUCUCUCCCACUUUAGUUGGAGCGGAUUCGAUGAAAAGGGUCCUUAUGAAGGGUAAAUAGAAGUUGAAAAAAUCACGUUGUGGUUAUUCGUAGGUAAGAAAACAUUCUUGCUAGAACCCAAUUGCAGCCACGUAAAAGAUGCAACAACAAUUAGAGGACGUCUAACUUGUUUUUGCAGCGAUUGAUCAUGUGAUGUGAUAUGGCCAGAAGUUGUGAUGAAUGAUGAAUUGUGAUGUAUGAGAUCAUGUUCUUUGUAAUAGGAUUCACGACUUGCAUGUCGAUGAGUAUGACAACCGGCAGGAGCCAUAGGAGUUGUCUUUAUUUUUUGUAUGACCUGCGUGUCAUUGAAGAACGCCAUGUAACUUACUUUACUUCAUUGCUAAACGCGUUAGUCAUAGAAGUAGAAGUAGUCGUUGGCGUGACAACUUCAUGAAGACACGAUGAUGGAGAUCAUGAUGAUGGAGAUCAUGGUGUCAUGCCGGUGACAAGAUGAUCAUGGAGCCCCGAAGAUGAAGAUCAAAGGAGCUAUAUGAUAUUGACCAUAUCAUGUCACUACUUUAUAUAAUUGCAUGUGAUGUUUAUUAUGUUUUAUGCAUCUUGUUUACUUAGGACGACGGUAGUAAAUAAGAUGAUCCCUUACAAAAAUUUCAAGAAGUGUUCUCCCCUAACUGUGCACCGUUGCUACAGUUCGUCGCUUCUAAGCACCACGUGAUGAUCGGGUGUGAUGGAUUCUUAUGUUCACAUACAACGGGUGUAAGACAGUUUUACACAGCGAAAACACUUAGGGUUAACUUGACGAGCCUAGCAUGUGCAGACAUGGCCUCGGAACACGGAGACCGAAAGGUCGAACACGAGUCAUAUGGAAGAUACGAUCAACAUGAAGAUGUUCACCGACGAUGACUAGUCCGUCUCACGUGAUGAUCGGACACGGGCUAGUCGACUCGGAUCGUGUAACACUUAGAUGACUAGAGGGAUGUCUAAUCUGAGUGGGAGUUCAUAAUUUGAUUAGAACUUAAUUAUCAUGAACUUAGUCUAAAGCCUUUGCAAAUAUGUCUUGUAGAUCAUAUGGCCAACGCUCAUGUCAACAUGAACUUCAACGCGUUCCUAGAGAAAAUCAAGCUGAAAGAUGAUGGCAACAACUAUACGGACUGGGUCCGGAACCUGAGGAUCAUCCUCAUAGCUGCCAGGAAACAAUAUGUCCUAGAAGGACCGCUAGGUGACGCUCCUGUCCCAGAGAACCAAGACAUUAUGAAUGCUUGGCAGUCUCGUGCUGAUGAUUACUCCCUCGUUCAGUGCGGCAUGCUUUACAGCUUAGAACCAGGGCUCCAAAAGCGUUUUGAGCAUCACGGAGCAUAUGAGAUGUUCGAAGAGCUGAAACUAGUUUUCCAAGCUCACGCCCGGGUCGAGAGAUAUGACAUCUCCGACAAGUUCUAUAGUUGUAAGAUGGAGGAAAAUAGUUCUGUCAGUGAGCACAUACUCAAGAUGUUUGGGUUGCACAACCGUAUGACCCAGCUGAAUAUUAACCUCCCUGAUGAGGCAGUCAUUGACAGAAUCCUUCAGUCGCUCCCACCAAGCUACAAGAGCUUUGUGAUGAACUAUAAUAUGCAGGGGAUGGUAAAGACCAUUCCUGAAGUAUUUUCUAUGCUGAGGUCAGCAGAGGUUGAAAUCAAGAAAGAACAUCAAGUGUUGAUGGUCAAUAAGACCACUAAGUUCAAGAAAGGCAAGGGUAAGAAGAACUUUAAGAAGGACGGCAAAGAGGUUGCCGCACCCGGUAAGCCAGUUGCCGGGAAGAAGUCAAAGAAUGGACCCAAGCCUGAGAGUGAGUGCUUUUAUUGCAAGGGGAAGGGUCACUGGAAGCGGAACUGCCCCAAAUACUUAGCGGAUAAGAAGGCCGUCAACACUAAAGGUAUAUUUGAUAUACAUGUAAUUGAUGUGUACCUUACCAGUACUCGUAGUAACUCCUGGGUAUUUGAUACCGGUGCCGUUGCUCAUAUUUGUAACUCACAGCAGGAGCUGCGGAAUAAGCGGAGACUGGCGAAGGACGAGGUGACGAUGCGCGUCGGGAAUGGUUCCAGAGUCGAUGUGAUCGCCGUCGGCACGCUGCCUCUACAUUUACCUACGGGAUUAGUUUUGAACCUUAAUAAUUGUUAUUUGGUGCCAAGUUUGAGCAUGAACAUUGUAUCUGGAUCUCGUUUAAUACGAGAUGGCUACUCAUUUAAGUCCGAGAAUAAUGGUUGUUCUAUUUAUAUGAGAGAUAUGUUCUAUGGUCAUGCUCCGAUGGUCAAUGGUUUACUCUUAAUGAAUCUCGAACGUAGUGUUACACAUAUUCAUAGCAUGAAUACCAAAAGAUGUAAAGUUGAUAAUGAUAGUCCCACAUACUUGUGGCACUGCCGCCUUGGUCACAUUGGUGUCAAGCGCAUGAAGAAGCUCCAUGCUGAUGGACUUUUAGAGUCUCUUGAUUAUGAAUCAUUUGACACAUGCGAACCAUGCCUCAUGGGCAAGAUGACCAAGACUCCGUUCUCCGGAACAAUGGAGCGAGCAACCAACUUGUUGGAAAUCAUACAUACCGAUGUGUGCGGUCCAAUGAGCGUUGAGGCUCGCGGAGGAUAUCGUUAUGUUCUCACUCUCACUGAUGACUUAAAUAGAUAUGGGUAUGUCUACUUAAUGAAACACAAGUCUGAGACCUUUGAAAAGUUCAAGGAAUUUCAGAAUGAGGUAGAGAAUCAACGUGACCGAAAGAUAAAAUUCCUACGAUCAGAUCGUGGAGGAGAAUACUUAAGUCACGAAUUUGGUACACACUUAAGGAAAUGUGGAAUCGUUUCACAACUCACGCCGCCUGGAACACCUCAGCGUAACGGUGUGUCCGAACGUCGUAAUCGCACUCUAUUGGAUAUGGUGCGGUCUAUGAUGUCUCUUACCGAUUUACCGCUAUCAUUUUGGGGAUACGCUCUAGAGACAGCUACAUUCACUUUAAAUAGGGCACCGUCAAAAUCCGUUGAGACGACACCGUAUGAAUUAUGGUUUGGGAAGAAACCUAAGCUGUCGUUUCUGAAAGCUUGGGGAUGCGAUGCUUAUGUCAAGAAACUUCAACCUGAGAAGCUCGAACCCAAGUCGGAAAAAUGCGUCUUCAUAGGAUACCCUAAGGAAACUGUAGGGUAUACCUUCUACUUAAGAUCCGAGGGCAAGAUCUUCGUUGCCAAGAACGGAUGCUUUUUGGAAAAAGAGUUUCUCUCGAAAGAAGUAAGUGGGAGGAAAGUAGAACUCGAUGAAGUACUACCUCUUGAGCGGGACAGUAGUGCAGCUCAGGAAGAUAUUCCUGUGAUGCCUACACCAACUAAAGAGGAAAAUAAUGAUGAUGAUCAAGGUACUUCGGAUCAAGUUGCUACUGAACUUCGUAGGUCCACAAGGACACGUUCCGCACCAGAGUGGUACGGCAACCCUGUCCUAGAUAUCAUGUUGUUAGACAACAGUGAACCUUCGAACUAUGAAGAAGCGAUGGCGGGCCUAGAUUCCAACAAAUGGCUAGAAGCCAUGAAAUCCGAGAUAGAAUCCAUGUAUGAAAACAAAGUAUGGACUUUGACUGACUUGCCCGAUGAUCGGCGAGCGAUAGAAAACAAAUGGAUCUUUAAGAAGAAGACGGACGCGGAUGGAAAUGUCACCAUCUAUAAAGCUCGACUUGUUGCUAAGGGUUAUCGACAAGUUCAAGGGAUUGACUACGAUGAGACUUUCUCUCCCAUAGCGAAGCUUAAGUUCGUCCUAAUCAUGUUAGCAAUUGCCGCAUACUAUGAUUAUGAGAUAUGGCAGAUGGACGUCAAAACGGCAUUCCUUAACGGGCAUCUUAAGGAAGAGUUGUAUAUGAUACAACCGGAAGGUUUUGUCGAUCCUAAGAACGCUAACAAAGUAUGCAAGCUCCAGCGAUCCAUUUAUGGGCUGGUGCAAGCAUCUCGGAGUUGGAAUAUUCGCUUUGAUGAGAUGAUCAAAGCGUUUGGGUUUAUGCAGACUUAUGGAGAAGCCUGCGUUUACAAGAAAGUGAGUGGGAGCUCUGUAGCAUUUCUCAUAUUAUAUGUAGAUGACAUACUCUUGAUGGGAAAUAAUAUAGAAUUUCUGGACAGCAUUAAGGCCUACUUGAAUAAGCAUUUUUCAAUGAAGGACCUUGAAGAAGCUGCUUAUAUAUUAGGCAUCAAAAUCUAUAGAGAUAGAUCGAGACGCCUCAUAGGUCUUUCACAAAGCACAUACCUUGAUAAGAUUUUGAAAAGGUUCAAAAUGGAUCAGUCCAAGAAAGGGUUCUUGCCUAUGUUACAAGGUGUGAGAUUGAGCUCGGCUCAGUCACCGACCACGGCAAAAGAUAAAGAAGAGAUGAGUCUCAUCCCCUAUGCUUCAGCCAUAGGAUCUAUUAUGUAUGCCAUGCUGUGUACCAGACCUGAUGUAAACCUUGCCGUGAGUUUGGUAGCAAGAUACCAGAGUAAUCCCGGCAAGGAACACUGGACAACAGUCAAGAAUAUCCUGAAGUACCUGAAAAGGACAAAGGACAUGUUUCUCGUUUAUGGAGGUGACGAAGAGCUCGUCGUAAAGGGUUACGUCGAUGCUAGCUUCGACACAGAUCUGGAUGACUCUAAGUCACAAACCGGAUACGUGUAUAUGUUGAAUGGUGGAGCAGUAAGCUGGUGCAGCUGCAAGCAGAGCGUCGUGGCGGGAUCUACAUGUGAGGUGGAGUACAUGGCAGCCUCGGAGGCAGCGCAUGAAGCUAUUUGGGUGAAGGAGUUCCUCACCGACCUAGGAGUCAUACCCAAUGCAUCGGGGCCGAUCAAACUUUUCUGUGACAAUACUGGAGCUAUUGCCCUUGCGAAGGAGCCCAGAUUUCACAAGAAGACCAGGCACAUCAAGCGUCGUUUCAACUCCAUCCGUGAAAAUGUUCAAGAUGGAGACAUAGAAAUUUGCAAUGUACAUACGGAUCUGAAUGUCGCAGAUCCGUUGAGUAAACCUCUCUCGCGAGCAAAACAUGAUCAGCACCAGAACUCUAUGGGUGUUCGAUUCAUCACAAUGUAACUAGAUUAUUGACUCUAGUGCAAGUGGGAGACUGUUGGAAAUAUGCCCUAGAGGCAAUAAUAAAAGGAUUAUUAUUAUAUUUCUUUGUUCAUGAUAGUUGUCUUUUAUUCAUGCUAUAACUGUAUUAUCCAGAAAUUGUAAUACACGUGUGAAUACAUAGACCACAAUAUGUCCCUAGUGAGCCUCUAGUUGACUAGCUCGUUGUGAUCAACAGAUAGUCAUGGUUUCCUUGCUAUGGACAUUGGAUGUCGUUGAUAACGGGAUCACAUCAUUAGGAGAAUGAUGUGAUGGACAAGACCCAAUCCUAAGCAUAGCACAAAGGUCGGUUAGUUCGUUGCUAGAGCUUUUCCAAUGUCGAGUAUCUCUUCCUUCGACCAUGAGAUCGUGUAACUCCCGGAUACUGUAGGAGUGCUUUGGGUGUACCAAACGUCACAACGUAACUGGGUGAUUAUAAAGGUGCAUUACAGGUAUCUCCGAAAGUGUCUGUUGGGUUGACACGGAUUGAGACUGGGAUUUGUCACUCCGUGUUACGGAGAGGUAUCACUGGGCCCACUCGGUAGUGCAUCAUCAUAAUGAGCUCAAGGUGACCAAGUGUCUGGUCACGGGAUCAUGCAUUACGGUACGAGUAAAGUGACUUGCCGGUAACGAGACUGAACAAGGUAUUGGGAUACCGACGAUCGGGUCUCGGGUAAGUAACGUACCGAUUGACAAAGGGAAUUGCAUACGGGGUUUGAUCGAAUCCUCGACAUCGUGGUUCAUCCGAUGACAUCAUCGAGGAGCAUGUGGGAGCCAACAUGGGUAUCCAGAUCCCGCUGUUGGUUAUUGACCGGAGAGUCUCGGUCAUGUCUGCAUGUCUCCCGAACCCGUAGGGUCUACACACUUAAGGUUCGGUGACGCUAGGGUUAUCAGGAAGACAAGUAUGUGAUUACCGAAUGUUGUUCGGAGUCCCGGAUGAGAUCCCGGACGUCAUGAGGAGUUCCGGAAUGGUCUGGAGGUAAAGUUUUAUAUAUGAGAAGUUGUUAAACGGGCACCGGAAAGUUUCGGGGUCAUACCGGUAUUGUACCGGGACCACCGGAAAGGUUCCGGGGGUCCACCGGGAGGGACCACCCCUCCCGGGGGGGCACUUGGGCUGCGUAGGGAUAGCAGCCAGCUCCUGGUGGGCUUGGCGCCCCCCCCCUUUGGGCCCAUGCGCCUAGGGUUGGGGGGGAAACCCUAAAGGGGGCGCACCCCCCUUGCUUGGGGGGCAAGCCCCCCACCCUUUGGCCGCCGCCCCCCUCUAGGGUUUCCCCUAGAGGGACGCCCCCCCUUGCCCUCUCCUCCUAUAUAUAGAGGGGUGAGGGGAGGGCUGCAACAACACAACUCAAGGCGCAGCCCCUCCCCUCCCCAACACCUCUCCUCCUUCGUACGUGCUCGGCGAAGCUCUGUCGGAAUACUGCUGCACCAACUGCACCACGCCGUCGUGCUGCCCUUGGAGCUGCCUUCCUCAACCUCUCCUUCCUCCUUGCUGGAUCAAGACGGAGGAGACGUCGACCGUCCCGUACGUGUGUUGAACGCGGAGGUGCUGUCCGUUCAGCACUUGGUCAUCGGUGAUCCGAAUCACGACGAGUACGACUCCAUCAUCACCAUCCCCUUGAACGCUUCCGCACUCGAUCUACAAGUGGUAUGUAGAUGCAAACUCUUCCCCUUGACUCGUUGCUUAGAUGAACUCAUAGAUGGAUCUUGGUGAAACCGUAGGAAAAAUUUUAAUUUUCUGCAACGUUCCCCAACAAGAUCGUCAUCAUCUAUCUCAAGUGGACAAUGUGCAAGGCAAAGGUUUGUCCUUUAUAGGUUUUCUAUUUUACCGGUCUCAUGGUGGUAGUUGGGAGAUCGGGUUAUAGGAUCGAUUGCCGUACUAUCAAGGGGGGCUCUCAAGUGAGUAGCUUGAUCGUAUCAUUCGUAGAGAGCUCAAACCAUUGUAUGCUUGCAUCAUCUUUAUUGAUUCUUGUUUGGUUUCUCUCCUCUUGAGAUUUGGCGCUUUUGGUCAUCUUCUUGACAACCUCGAGUUCAUCAAAAACGGAGUUCACAUGCAUCUUAUAUGAUGUUUUUGGUGUUGGAGGUUAUGUCGGUUCUUCUCUGUUGGAGGUUUCACUCCUCUAUAUCUUAGGCAUACCUCCCCUGCCUCUUCUUACUAUAUCCAGCCACUGUUUGGAUGCUACUCAUCGUCAUCUAUCCAACAAGCUUGAGUUUUCUCAAUUCAGAGCUCAUUUGCAGGAGUUGUGGCAGUUCAGGCUUUAUUGCAUCCUCUGUUUUCUCUGUCGUGUUCCUAAAAGCCUCAAGCGGUAGUACUGCUCUCUCGAGCGGUAGUACCGCGGCCCUGUGCCGCGCGUAGUACCGCUACUUCUAGGGAUGCGAUUUUUUGUGUCGGGUUUCAUAGUAGUAGAGUGGUAGUAGUGAGUGGUAGUACCUCUUAUAAGAGACAGUACCUCUCCGAGCGGUAGUACCUCUUAUAAACGGUACUACCUCUCUGGGCGGUACUACCUCUCCCCCGAGCAGUACUACCUCUCUAGCAGAACUACAGCUCAUGUUUUUUUGUCUCGUUGGGCUGUUUUGACCGUGCUAAGCGGUAGUACCGCUCCUCCGAGCGGUAGUACCGCUUGUGCACGACCUAAGUGCGUAACGGUUGGAUUCAGGAGUGCCUAUAAAAGGGGGUAUUCUUCCCCAUUGACCUUAUCUCUUUAGCUCGUGUUCUUCCCCCAUUGUUGACCUUCUUCGAGCUUGCUAUCUCUCAAUUCCUCCAUGGAUUCUUGCUAGUUUGGGGGGGGAGAGGAGAUCUAGAUCCACAUUUCCACCAAUCACUUUCUCCUCUAUGUGAGGGGAAUCCCUUGGAUCUAGAUCUUGGAUUUCUUCAUGGUCUCUUAUUCAUUCUUCCUCUCAUUUUCCUCCCUCGCAUUAGCUGCUUUGGCGGGAUUUGGGAGAGAAGGACUUGGGCACUCCGUGUGCCCUUGCCAUUGCAUUUGAUGCAUCGUUUGAGUUCUCCACGGUGAUAUAUGGAAGUCACAAGUUGAGAAGCUUAUUACUCUUGGGUGCUUGGUGCCCUUGAGCUUGUUCCUCUAGGAUGCCUUCGUGCCCUAGACGGUUGGUGGUGUUCGGAGCUCAAUCAUUGUGGCGCAAAGCUCCGGGCAAGCGUCGGGGUCUCCAAUUAGGUUGUGGAGAUCACCCCGAGCACUUUGAUGGGUUUCGAUGACCGCCCCCAAGGGUUGCCAAAGUGUACGGGUUAGGUGACCGCCCCCAAGGGUUGCCAUUUGUACGGGUUCGGUGACCGCCCUCAAGGGUCCCUUAGUGGAAUCAUGGCAUCUUACAUUGUGCUAGGGCAUGAGGAGAUUACCGUGGCCCUAGUGGCUUAUUAGGGAGCAUUGUGCCUCCACGCCGCUCCAAACGGAGAUUAGCAUCCGCAACGGUGUGAACUUAUGGAUUCAUCAUCGUCUCUGCAUGACUCGGUUAUCUCUUACCCGAGCUAGCUCUUUACUUAUGCACUUUAUUUUGUGAUAGUCAUGCUGUUUCUUGUCAUAUAUCUUGCUAUCACUUAGUAGUUUAUCUUGCUUAGCAUAAUUUGUUGGUGCACAUAGGUGAGCAUAGUUAUUGUAGGUUUUGUGCUUGACAAAUUAACCGCUAGGUUUAUUCCGCAUUUGUUCAAGUCUAAACCGUAAUUAUUUUAAAGCACAUAUUCACCCCUUCCCCUCUAAGCGACAUCCACGAUCUUUCACUCAUAAUAGAGAAACCCUGUGUGGUUCUCUUCUUCUCCCUCUAAUUCUCUGGCGAUGAUUAGGUUUGGAUGGCGAAGCACAGCCGAAACGUGAAGCCCGAACACUGGCAAACUGUAGAGAUGUCAUGCUUUCAGUUUUCGGUUCGAUGGACCGUUCGUGAAUGGUUUGAGGGACUUCAAUUAUGGUCUACACCAACUCUUCUUCCGCUGCAACUCAAAGUUGGUAAUGAGCUGAUCUAAAUCGCGAAUUCAUCGUCAUAGUGUUCCUGGUUUGAUCGUAGGACAAUCUUUUGGUUUUCUACUACGUUUCCCAACACAACACUCAUAUACUUCCACAUCAACAUUGAAGAUUGCUACAAUAAUUCCUUGCACAUGAGGAUUAUCAAGUCCUCAUUCUAGCGCUGUCGUUUGUCAUCGGCGGAGGGCUUAUGGAGCUUCAGCUAGAGCUAGAUCUUAGGCACUUGUUUUUGUCUUUGUUCUAUCUAGGUAGGAUGGCAAUGGAUGGGGUUCAAAACUGGUUAAACAAUAUCAAAUUCAUACCCAAAUCCAUGAAGGCAUUCUUUUGCCACCCACGAAAAACUCACAGGAAGAAAUCGUGCCUAUGUCUAAACCUGAUGGAUAUCCAUUGGGUCCCCUUAACACAUAUAUGUCAUACCUCGGGAAAUAACAAAAACACAUGGCAUUUCUAAGAUUAGCACUACAAACAAUAUCAAAAAUCAACACAAGUACACAACACGUCAAUUCUCAAUCUAAGUUCCUCACAACAUGACAUAGUACAACACAAAAAAUUAGACUCUAAAAAAUGUAGCAUAACUUGAGAAGACGAUGAAGUAGGUUACUCGAGGGUGGUUUUUCUUUGCUUUUCUGAUUAAAAAUAUGAUUGGAAAAGGAUAAUGGGUAGGGAUCAAAGAAUAUUACCCCCACAAAUUAGACUACCGGGUUGGUUCAGGCAUAACCACAAGUGUAGAAUUAUGCUCAUGCCCUACCCACAACUAAUCAGGUCGGGUUCCAACGCUAUCCAUGGGCGUAAAAACAUAUCCAAGCCUACUCAUUCAGGUCUAGUACCCGCGGUUAUCCAUGCCCAUAGGUAAAAUUGUCAAUAUUAUACCUAGGUGAUGGGCGCCACACUGUGGAGUGGGUGAUGUCACAUUGUGUUUUUUCUCCCGUUCCUUCUCUGUCCGAUGAAGCUCAGCCAGAUCGUGAUUGCCGGCGUCUUUUGAUCUACAUUAACGACUUCCCAACCGGUGGUUUUCAUGCUCCUGGGUUUCAAUAAAAUCGCUCCACUGAGACGAAGAUCCACAGGCAUCAACAAGCUUUCAAGGACACGCGUGUAAUUUCUUCUUCCGGUAUGAAAGUUCAUGUAAGGCUGGUUUAUCUAAUAGCAGUAUAUGGCCUUUCACGUUUCCCGGAAAAAAAAAGAGUGUGCUUAGGGAGGGAAACGUUUCUCUCUUGGGUGCUGGUGCACCCAAAUUGCCAAACAAAGUAAUUUCACAAAUGUUCAAAAAAUCAUGGAAUUUGUUGGCAAAAAACUUGAUAACGCGUUACACUCGCGUAAAAUUUUUGAGGGUGAAACUCGUGGCAUUGUCCAGGACAAAGUCUAAAGCGGCACUAUAUUAGAGGUACUAUUCACUCUAUAUUGUCCUGGACAAAAAAAAAA
rnacentral:lncRNA from 1 species